UAUAUAUAUAUAUGAGUAUAUUGACUUAGGAGUCAAAUGAGAACAUUUGAUCAUAGGUCAUACUCAUCGUUUAAUGUCAAGUGGGGUUACCACUUUUACAUAAAGCAUUAUUGACACCUUUAGAGUUGCUUGAGCUCAAUUCUUUGAGUAAAGCUCCCCCUAGAUGUGAUAUCCCCCCGAAGAGGGAUGAACUAACCUUGGGUUUUGUCGAUGAUGACUUCAUGUAGGUGUUAAAGAUGUGGAUGCUCAAUGUUGAUGUAGAUCAUUCGAAGCAAUCCAUUGGAGUGAGUUGCACUUCCAAUACCUACACGGGUUAGUCCCACAUGGAACAAGCAAGGAUAUCCAUAGACAUAGAGUGAUGUACACAGAAGAUGAUGUCCAUGAAAGCAUUAGGUUACCUUGUCCCUUGUCUUACCAACAAGAGGGUUUGUGACUCCUUGAACUAGUGCAAGAUAUGAAAGUUGUUUGCACUUGUUCUUGCCAAAAUGAUAUGGGUGAAGUUUGUUGGUGGAGUCACCCUCAAGAACUCUCCAGUCCUUCUUCUUCGGGAUCCACAUCAUCUUGAUGGGAAUCCUUGGAGUUGUAGUCGUACUUGAUGAAGUAGAACUUGAUGUAGUCUUGGGAACCCACUUGACCAAGGCCUUGGGAGCUUCUUCAAAUGCAUAAAUCUCGUCUUGAAGCUUGUCCUUGCCUUUUUGCUUACGGACUUGUGGUGGAAGAUCAUCUUGAGCUUGUGUCCCUUGGAAAGAAGUAGGAUCAUACUUCUCUUGUUGAGGAACAAACUUCAUCUUGGGGUAUUGAUCUUCUUCCCACUCAACUCCAUUGGCAUUGAACUUUCGUUCAAAACCAACACCUUGAUUCUUUCGGUGCCUUCCUUGCUUGCAUACAAUUUCCUCAAAUUGCUUACUUAUGGCAAGGCUCUUGUAAACACCUUUCUCUAUAACUCCCUUCAAUACGCUAUUUUCUUGCUCAAGUGUAACUUGGCUAAGAGAAUCAUUAGUGGAAUCAAGAGAACUACUAGAAGCAACAACAUUGGAUUUAGCAUGAUUACUGUUACUACUAGAAGAAGAAUCUUUCUUACUAUUGUUGUUAGAUGUAGCUUGUGGCAUAUAAGCAGACAAGAGUAAACGCUUGGCAAUGUAAGAAGAACUUUUCUUGCGAAGAUCAUCAUUGAUUGCCUUUAAAAACCCAUGCUCUUGCUCAAGGUUGAGCUUUUCAAAGCGUAACUUCUCAUGAGUCUUUAAAAGUUCUCGAUGAUCUUCCAAGGUAGUUUCAUGAGCUAACUUAAGAGUGUUUAGUUCUUUAGUUAGACACUCAAUCUCAUUCUUAUCAUCAUCAUUCAUUUUAUCUUGAUUAGCAUGAUUAAUAGCUAGAGUUGUCAACAAGUAAAUCAUCAUCACCUAACAAAUCAUAUUCAUCACUAUUGAAAUCAACAUACUCGGGUUGUGAUACCUUCGGGCCUUUAGCCAUGAAGCAUCUUCCAAUUCCUUCAUUUGGUGAGUCAAAUAUGUCGUAGGAGUUGGUUGACACAAGUGCAAGACCUGCAACACCUUCAUCUUGAGUAUAUUCGGAGUCGGAGUGAUAACUUCUCUCGGAGUGAUGGUCGAAGUUGGAGCCGGAUGCCCAUUCACCAACAUGAGCUUGAUGUCUUCUUUUGUGUAGCUCUUUGAUGAUUUGUCCUUCCUUUACGAAUCCUUGCUUCUCCGGGAGGUUCUUCGUUCAUAACGAUCAUCUCUACUCCUUCUCUCUCUUGGUGGUGAUUCUUCUCUUCUACUUCUUCUUUUAGGUGAAUCUUCUCUUCUUUUGUAGGGAGUCGUACACUCAUUGUAGUAGUGUCCGGGUCUUCCACAAUUGUAGCAAUUACACUCAUGACUCGAAGAUCUUUUGUCAUUGUAGGACCUUGACUUGGAACUUCUUUCCUUGCUUCUACUCUUGUAGAACUUGUUGAAGUUCUUCACCAUUAGGCUCAAUUCUUCAUUGCAGGUUUGUUUCUCACUUGAUGAUGUAGGAUAAUCACAUGAGGCUUUGUAAGCACCACUUGACUUGUUGUGAAGCUCUUCUUUAUCCUUGAGUGACAUCUCAUGAGCAACAAUUCUUCCAAUGACUUCCGUUGGCUUGAGACCUUUGUAAUUGGGCAUCAUUUGGACCAAUGUGCACACGGUAUCAUAUUUUACAUCCAAGGCUCUUAGGAUCUUCUUGAUGAUGAAUCUAUCGUUCAUCUCUUCACUUCCUAAGCCUGCAAUCUCAUUUGUGAUGAGAGCAAACCUAGAGUACAUUUUAGCAACACCUUCACCAUCCUUCAUUUUGAACUUGUCAAGUUGACUUUGAAGCACAUCCAAUUUGGAUUCCUUGACGGAGUCGGUACCUUCGUGCAUAUCAAUCAAAGUAUCCCAAAUUUCCUUUGCAUUCUCAAGACGGCUGAUUUUGUUGAAUUCUUCGGGGCACAAUCCGUUGAAGAGGAUAUCGCAAGCUUGAGCAUUGUAUUGCAGCAUCUUCAACUCUUCCGCGGUAGCAUCACGGUUCGGUUCUCUUCCAUCGAAGAAUUCACCUUGCAAACCAAUACAAACAGUAGCCCAAACGGUAGGGUUAUGUCCAAGAAUAUGUAUUUUCAUCUUAUGCUUCCAACUAGCAAAAUUAGUAAGGACCUCUACGGUGGUAAUAUCCCUCGCUAGACGCCAUACUCUCCUAGGUUGUGAAACCAAGGCUAUGAUCACCAAAAGCUAUGGAAAUCAAGGCAAAUGGAGACCGUAGCUCUGAUACCAAUUGUAGGAUCGAAAGUAUGUCUAGAGGGGGGUGAUUAGACUACUUGACCAAAUAAAAAUUCUAGCCUUUUCCCAAUUUUAGUUCUUGGCAAAUUUUAGCAACUUAGCACAAGUCAAGCAAUCACAAUACAAUUCAAGCAAGCAUGCAAUGAGUAUAUGAGCAGCGGAAAUUAAAGCAUGCACCUUGCAAGAAAGUAAAUGGGGGGAGUUUCGAAAGCAAACACAAUUGGAGACACAGAUGUUUUUGGCGUGGUUCCGAUAGGUGGUGCUAUCGUACAUCCAUGUUGAUGGAGACUUCAACCCACGAAGGGUAACGGUUGCGUGAGUCCAUGGAGGGCUCCACCCACGAAGGGUGCACGAAGAAUCAACCUUGUCUAUCCCACCAUGGCCAUCGCCCAUGAAGGACUUGCCUCACUAGGAUAGAUCUUCAUGAAGUAGGCGAUCUCCUUGCCCUUACAAACUCCUUUGUUCAACUCCACAAUCUUGUCGGAGGCUCCCAAGUGACACCUAACCAAUCUAGGAGACACCACUCUCCAAAAGGUAAUAGAUGGUGUGUUGAUGAUGAACUCCUUGCUCUUGUGCUUCAAAUGAUAGUCUCCACAACACUCAACUCUCUCUCAUAGGAUUAGAUUUGGUGGAAAGAUGAUUUGAGUGGAAAGCAACUUGGGGAAGGCUAGAGAUCAAGAUUCAUAUGGCAGGAUUGGAAUAUCUUGGCCUCAACACACGAGUAGGUGGUUCUCUCUCAGAAAAUGAGUAGUGGAACUGUAGGCACAUUCUGAUGGAUUUUUCCACGAAUGCAGAAAGGGUGGAGGGGUAUAUAUAGCCUCCACACAAAAUCUAACCGUUACACACAAUUUACAAAACUCGAUGGGACUGAAUCAGAAAACUCGGUCAAACCGAUUUAGUUCAUAAUGUGACUAUUAGGAAUUUUUGUGGGACCGACAUGUCAACUUGGCGGGACCGAUUUCAUUAGGGUUAGGGCAUAACGUAAUCUCGGUUUGACCAAUUACAAAACUCGGUGGGACCGACUUUGGUAAUAAGUUAACCAGAGAGUUGGUCAGGCAAACUCGGUGGGACCGAUUCGCUCAUCUCGGUGGGACCGAAACGUUACGAAUGGGAACGGAGAGUUUGCAUUGCUAACUCGGUGGGACCGAUCGCUCAUCUCGGUUAGACCAAAAUGUUAUGAAGGGAAAUAAAGAGUUUGCAAUCCCAUCUCGGUGAGACCGAGAUCCCUAUCAGUGAGACCGAAGUGACUAGGGUUUCUGGCAGUGGCUAUGUCAAAUGAACUCGAUGGCGCCGGAUAGAUCAAAUCGGUGGGGCCGAGUUUGACUUUUGGUUUGGGACAUAUGAGGAUAUGAGAAAUUGGUUGAGGGCUUUUGGAGCAUAUCACUAAGCAUUUUGAGCAAGCAAGCCAUUAAGCAACACCUCAUCCCCUUUUAAUAGUAUUGGCUUUCCUAUAGACUCAAUGUGAUCUUGGAUCACUAAAAUACAAAAUGUAGAGUCUUGAGCUUUAGAGCAUGAGCCAAUCCUUUGUCCUAAGCAUUUUGAGGGGUCCACAUUCCUAAUCCAUGCCAUGCCAAUCAUUGAUCUUUUCCUGAAUAUUCAUCUUGAAAUAGUAUUAGUUCAUUGAGCUAUAUGUUGUCAAUGAUUACCAAAACCACCCAGGGAUAAUUGCACUUUCAUAGUGCCAGUUGCAGUUUUUUGCUUGUUUUUUACUUUGAAUAAUGUACGCCAAAUAGAGUCCAAAUGUAGCGGAACUUUUUGGAGAAUUUUUCUGGACUAGAAGACACAUGUUGAGCCAAAGAAGUACCAGAGGGGGCUCCGAGGGGAGCACAGCCCACCUGGACACGCUUGGGGGCCCAGGCGCUCCUUGGUGGGUUGUGCCCACCUCAGUCGCCUACCGCACCACUUCUUUGCUCUAUAAAUACCCCGAAAAUCCAAAAACCCUAGUGUCGGUGUCAAAAUAGGCGGAUCUUGGGUAGGGGGUCCCGAUCUGUGUGUCUUAGGCUGAUGGUAACAGGAAGCAAGGGACACAAUGUUUACCCAGGUUCGGGCCCUCUCGAUGGAGGUAAAACCCUACUUCCUGCUUGAUUAAUAUUGAAGAUAUGAGUAGUACAAGAGUAGAUCUACCACGAGAUCGUAGAGGCUAAACCCUAAGAGCUAGCCUAUGAUGGUAUGAUUGUAAUUGUGAUCGGCCUUCUAAGGACCAUCCUCUCCAAUUUAUAUAGACACUGGAGAGAGCUAAGGUUUAGAUGCAGUCGGUUACAAGGAAGGAAAUAUAAUAUCCGGAUCGCCAAGCUUGUCUUCCACGCAAAGGAGAGUCCCAUCCGGACACGGGCCGAAGUCUUUAGUCUUGUAUCUUCACACUUCAAUAGUCCGGACGAUGCAUAUAGUCCGGCUGUCCGGAUACCCCCUAAUCCAGGACUCCCUCAGUAGCCCCUGAACCAGGCUUCAACGACGAUGAGUCCGGCGCGCAGUCUUUUCUUCGGCAUUGCAAGGCAGGUUCCUCCUUCCGAAUACUCCAAGGUUAUUAUAGAACACGUAGACCGUGUCCGGAUUUGCAAGAUGACCUUUUCACACCAUUGUAGGGAACAUAGCAUAAAUCCGUUCUGCUGGCGAUCUUUGUACGUUGUGCCCUUGCAUCGUGGCCUGGUCCAACACGAACCGGCGUUUCCUGCCCCACCUCGACUCGCGUUGCGAGGCGGGUUUAUUGGCACGUCCUGCCAAAGAAGAGAUCGUGUUCCUCUUAAUACGGGAUCUCUCAUCAAUAUGGGCGUGUGCGACCCCACGGCGACCGUUGGUAUGACUCCGUGUAUUUUAGAUAAGUCUCAAGCGGUUACGCUGAGGACUCUUGAUAUUCAUCCCUUUUAUAAAGGGGUCAAGGCCUACGCCUCUUUUCCACCUCCCUUGCUCCUUCUCGCACCUCGAGUUCUAACACCCAAGACCCAAGCUCCAACACCCCAGAUCCUCCAACAUGUCCGGAUCUGACGCAAAAGGCCGGUGGGUGGCCUCCUCGAUCCAAGAGGAGGAAAUUAUGAAGCUUAGGGAGGUCGGAUACCUGACCGUUGAUAUCCAGCACAGGCUUCCUGCUCCAGGGCAAGUAAUCCAUAGGCUGGAGCCCAAUGAGAGCGUUGUGUUUGUUCCUCACUUCCUCCGAGGCCUGGGCCUCACCCUCGACCCCUUUGUGAGGGGGCUCAUGUUCUACUAUGGGUUGGAUUUUCAUGAUUUGGCUCCAUACGCCAUCCUCCAUAUCUUGUCGUUCAUUAUUGUGUGCGAGGCUUUUCUCCAUGUCACCCCACACUUCGGCUUAUGGCUCAAGACCUUCAAUGUGACGCCGGGGAUGAUCGAGGAGCGACAUGCAGAGUGCGGAGGUGCCAUAAUAAGCAGGAACGCUGAUGCCCCAUGGCCAGAGGGUUCUUUCCUGGAAGUAUCCGAUGUAUGGCAAUGGAGGUGGUUUUAUGUUGCAGCUCCUAGAGGCACAAAGUGGGUAGCCGCCCCCGAGUUCCGCUCGGGCCCUCCAUCACAGUUAGCGUCUUGGACCGAUGUAGGACAGAAUUUUGGGCCCACUGGUGAUGUACCAGAACUGUGGAAUCACAUCCAAGAGCUUAUUGAGAGGGGCAUAAAUCUUGUCAGCAUAAUGCAAGUGAUGCUAAUCCGACGGAUGUUGCCGUGCAAACGUCGGCCUCUCCGGAUGUGGGAGUUUAAUCCGGAGGGUCCACGGACUAUUAAGCACUUCUUCGGCCUGAAGCUCGAAGGGAUGUGUAAAUUAUUCUUCUGACCACAAGUAAAGUGUCCGGACACCACCGAGGAUGCGGGCCUAAGCUGCAAUCGCCUAGAUGCCCAAGUAAGUAACCUUAAAGCUGGACACUUCAUUUAUAUUUAUCAUAACUAUUAUUCUGAAAAUCCCUCCGUGGCCAGGAAUGGCUCAACAAGGCGGAGAUAAUCAGGUGUCCGGCGCCAUUUCCUGAAGGUUCGCCUGGUCCAACCGUUGCCAAGAUGCUUGGUCGGGUGCUCAGCAAAAUCCCCUCAGGGAAAGGCGAAGGAAAGGGCAGUGAAGCCGAACUUCACACACUACGCAUCCAGACCGGGGUGAUCGCUACCUCUCCUACAAAGGAUAGUCGGGAAGGGGAGGUUAAAGCCUCCUCCUCGCGCGGGAGGAAGAGGGCCGCCUCUGAAGACUUGGAGGCGGAGAUGCCCAAACAAGGGAAGAAGGUAUCACCAGGGGGCUCUGCCGCGACGGGCACCCUCACCGCGUUGUGCCCACCAAUGGGCCAGCCCUCCACCGAGCCGUAAGUAGAUCAUUAAUUCGAAGGUAUGGUGUUUCUCCGAGAUCCAUAACCGGUACUUCGUCUUUUGCAGUCUGGUGAGCAGCUCUUCUCAACAGAGUUCGUCUUCGGGGGAUCUUCCUCCGGAGAUGAUGGAGAGUGAGAUCCCACCCUCCUCUCUGCCUCAUGAAGCGGGCGACACUGAGGUGUCAUCAUGGAGGAGUCCGGAUCUGCCGAAGCCGGAAGCGAACACGUCAGUCGCCCUGAGCCCGAAGCGUUUGGCUCCCACGGGGGGCGAUGAGAAGGGUCCAGCACAGUUUGAUGUCCGGUCGGACGGACUGACAGGCCUUCUGGAGCGAGCCGCGCUCUCGGAGGAGCACCGUUCUUUAAUGAGCACGGUACUCACAAAGAUUUCGUCCGCUACAAGUGGUUUGAAUGAGGCAUUUACAAGCCUGCUCCAAGGUUUUGAGGUAUGUAGUGAAAAAUGCACAAUUUUUUGUUAUGAAGCACGCGCUAGGUGUGCUCCCUAUGGAUAGUAGCCCCUGAGCCUCUGGUUGCCCGCCAUAGGCGGCAAACAGGGGAUCAUAUAGUAAUGGCUGCGCUGUACAUGUGCACAGGUAUGCAAGGAUCCGGCAGCCGACUAGUCUGUUGAAGUUGCCGAACUAAGGAGGCAGAUCGGAUCUAUUGAUGUCGAUAUCACGCUGGUGAACAAACGGCUGGAGGAGUCACAGGGUAUGUGCUCUGCUUACCUUAUUAUGAUGUAUAGGAAAAUGCGAGAGGGGAAUAAUAUUAAUGCAGUGUGUUUGUACCGCAGAUGGUGCUGCUGCCGUGGAGGCCCUGAGGGCGGAACUUGCUCAGGCCAAGGAACAAGCUCGGGCUAGCAAUGCGGCUGUCCUGAAGGCGGCCGAAAAUUGAGAGCCGAACAGGCUGCUCAUCACCGAAGCGAGGAAAAGAUAGCCGAAAUGGCUGGGGAGUUGAAAAAUGCCACCGACCGGUAUGUACUCCUUGAAAAGGAGAAUAAGGGUGGUUCGGCCGAGCUGGACAAGGCACUUAAUGCUGCCAAGGAGAUGCGGACCAAGAUCCGGGGUAUGCGGGAGGAGCUCCAACAGGCCGACAAAAUCGUGGCUGGGGGCUCCUACUUACUGCGGACGAAGUUUUUGGAUCCAAAGUAUGCUCCCCUAGCUGGGCGCUGGAGUCCGGCAGACGCAUAUGCGGACUUGACGAAUAGUACAGCUGACACUGCCAAGUUCUUCGAGGAUCAAGGUGAUAAGGAAGUGGAGAAGCUUUUCUGGUCGCAAUUCAAUGCUCCCACUCGCCCGCUGCCGUUAAAUGAGAAGGUGGCUGCUGUGGCGGAGCUUCAUAGGCUGUCCGGGCUUGCAAUGCGGUCUGUAAUAGACCAUCUUUGGCCGAAGGGGCCUAAGCCGGACAGUUAUUUUGGUUUGGUGCAGCAAUUCCUUGGGGCCAUGUCUUGGAUUGACGCCAUGAAGAGGUCAGCGUGCAUAGAGGGUGCGCGGAUGGCUCUUGCCCGCGUCAAAGCCUAUUGGACGGAUAUGGAGGCCACCAUUAUAGCGACCCAGGAUCCGGCGGGAGGACAAUAUCCGGCCGAGCACUACUUGGCACAGGUCACAGAAGGUGCCCGCCUAAUAGAGGCGCAGUGCUCGAAGAAUGUUUUGUUCGAGUGAUAAGUCGAAUCAUUGUAUAAACAAUGUUUAUUUUGAUAAUGAGGCUAUAUUUAUACUUUUUCCCUGAAAAUAUGAUUGUGUCCCCUGUGCGGCCGUUUUCAUAUGUAUAAGUAGUCCAAAAGAUAGCAGUCGUUGGCUUCAGCCCCACGCAUACAAUGCGGGGGUGUUCGCGAAAAAGAUGCUUAAUCACACUUGAUCCAACGUCUUGGUCCAUUAAGGAGGUGAUCGCACGUCGAACUAGGAAACCGGACUAUAUAGUUGUAACACUUUCGCUUAACCAUGGGGUUCUAAAGGUGGGGCUACUAUGUAGCCCCUGGUACAUUCGCGUGCAUCCGAAUACGGGCGCGUAUGUACAUGGCCGGGAAACGGCCCUUCGUUAAUGCGGAGGAAUCCUUAAAGAUUCCAGUGAGUCUUCGAGUGGUUGAACAGUCUCUCGUUGUAUCAUGACAGUCAGUUUUUGGCUUUCUCUAUUGAGGUGCUCAUCCGGAAUAACUAGGGCACAAUCACAGUAGUUCUCCUAUGUCCGGCCUUAGCCGAUAAUAACGGAACAUAAGGCGGCAAACCCAGGAGCCGAGCAAACCCAACAUUUGACCAAAGACAUGAUUCGGAGCUGAUGCAUAUAAGGCCAAACUCGUGACGCUGAACACUCCCGAAGGUAUUCGCUCUUUGUAAAAGAAAACAGGCUAACGAAAGCCUGUUAUAAACCCUAAAUUUCCAGGUACGUGCGAUCAAUCUGUCGUGGCGAAAUGCCAAUAAUGGCAGUAUCCUCUGUGGGUAUGGGACCCAUGGGAUGGUUAAACAACAAGAGGCAGUAGAAAAGGUUUACACAGGGGCUUAAUCUAAAAAGAAACCUGUUGAACGGGGCCCUACUGCACGUCUACGCCUUUGUCUCCGUUGUGCCUUAUCCUGGAAGGGUAUCGCGCGGAUGUUGUCUGUGAAAAAAGAAAACUCGCAAGAGAGUGCAAUGUAAGUAUGCGAUUGAUAAUAAAAGUGUUAGAUAUUGGCCUGCCAGUAAGGUUGAGCCAGAUGUGGGGCUGCAUUAAAUAUUUACAACCCUUGGUAUCCGUUAUGGGAUUACAUGUAUGGUGCCCUGGUUCAAAUGUAUCUGGACUACCGGACUCGUCUAAUCGAGUUUGUGGUCAUAAUGACCAGUCACGUUUUUUGAUAUUGGAGGCCGCUUACAGUCCGGCCUCCAGGGCCGUUGCGUGUUCCUCUGCGUGUGAGGAGCGCUCUGUGAUUCCACUAACGGUGAUGACGCCACGUGGAUCGGGCAUCUUGAGUGUAAGGUAGCCAUAGUGCGGCAAUGCGUUGAAGCGGGCGAAGGCCGCUCUUCCAAGCAAUGCGUGAUAGCCGCUUUGGAAGGGUGCGAUGGUGAAGAGUAGUUCUUCACUUCUGGAGUUACCUGGGGAGCCGAAUGUUACUUCCAGCACGACGGAGCCCCUGUCGUGGGCUUCAACACCUGGUAUCACCCCUUCAAAGGUUGUGUUGCUUUGGCUAAUCCUGGAUGGGUUUAUCCCCAUUCUGCGGACAGUGUCCUCGAAUAAUAAAUUGAGACUACUGCCGCCAUCCAUGAGGACGCGGGUGAGACGGUAUCCGUCGAUUAUUGGGUCUAGCACCAAGGCCUCUGAUCCUCCGCGCCGAAUACUAGUUCGGCCGUCCAUGUGAUCAAAGGUGAUCGGACGAGACAUCCAGGAGUCAGAUGUGGGUAUGAUGGGCUCUACAUCGUGCACGUGUCUGAGCGCGCGUUCGUGCCUUCUCGUGAAUGUGUGAGUCACGUGGAUCAUGUUUACUGUUUUAACCUCUGGCGGGAAUUUUUUCUGUCCCCCAGUGUUCGGCUGGCGAGGUUCGUCCUCGUCUUCACUUGGUGUUUCCCUCCCCUUGUGUUCGGCAUAUAAUUUGCCGGCCUGCUUGAAGACCCAGCACUCUCUAUGUGUGUGGUUCGCAGGUUUCUCCGGGGUGCCAUGAAUUUGGCAUAGUCUGUCCAGGACUCUGUUCAGACCGGACGGUCCCUCUUUACUGCCUUUAAAUGGCUUCUUUUGCUGAUCAGGUCGAGAGCCCCUAAAUCCGGCAUUGAACAUUGUGUUGUCCGGGCUCUCUUCCUUGUUUUGGUGUUUGUUUUUAUUACGUCGUGGCUUCCCGUUGCCAUCCCUUAUUUCGGAUGUGCUGGGGUCGCUGGUGCCUUUACGGGCUAGCCAGCUAUCUUCACCCGCGCAAAAGCGGGUCAUAAGGCUUGUUAAGGCUGCCAUUGUCCUUGGCUUUUCUUGGCCAAGGUGUCUAGCGAGCCAUUCAUCACGGAUGCUGUGUUUGAAUGCCGCUAAGGCUUCUGCGUCCGGACAAUCGACAAUUUGAUUCUUCUUAGUGAGGAAUCUAUUCCAAAGAUUGCGGGCGGACUCUCCGGGCUGUUGGAUUAUGUGACUUAGAUCGUCUGCAUCCGGAGGCCGUACAUAAGUCCCUUGAAAAUUGGCCCUGAAAGCGCCUUCGAGUUCCUCCCAACUCCCAAUUGAGUUUUCGGGGAGGCUUUUCAACCAGUGUCGAGCUGGUCCCUUUAGCUUGAGGGGAAGGUAUUUGAUGGCGUGGAGGUCAUCCCCACGAGCCAUGUGAAUAUUCAGGAUAGAAUCCUCGAUCCAGACCCCUGGGUCUGUCAUUCCGUCAUAUGCCUCUAUGUUCACAGGUUUAAAACCUUGUGGGAAUUCAUGGUCUAGUACUUCUUCGGUGAAGCACAGGGGGUGAGCAGCACCUCUAUAUUUGGAUGCGUUGUGGCAUGCAGUCGGCUGUUGUUGUGUCCGGAGUUUAUUCCGAACUGGUAUUUGGCUUGUAUGAGCGUUUGGGUGACCAUAGUCCCUCGCCGGGGUGUGUCCUUUAGAUCCAUAGAUGGACCUGGCUACACCGGCUUUCUUAUCCAGAUGCUCACGCAGAUCGUGCGCGGCGUUAGUAGUCGUUCUGUUGCGGUUGUGGAGCGGUACGUCUGGUCUCCUGGUCGUAUUAUUCUUUGGUGGGACAGCAUCGUCGUCGAAUUCUGGCAGUAGCUUGCGCUUUGGAUAGCUUUUCGUAUGGCGAUCGUCGCUAUAUCUUUCUUCAGUGUCUAGCACUUUAUUCAAUGUCGGUGUCAAAACCGGCGGAUCUUGGGUAAGGGGUCCCGAUCUGUGCGUCUUAGGCUGAUGGUAACAGGAAGCAAGGGACACAAUGUUUACCUAGGUUCGGGCCCUCUCGAUGGAGGUAAAACCCUACUUCCUGCUUGAUUAAUAUUGAAGAUAUGAGUAGUACAAGAGUAGAUCUACCACGAGAUCGUAGAGGCUAAACCCUAAGAGCUAGCCUAUGAUGGUAUGAUUGUAAUUGUGAUCGGCCUUCUAAGGACCAUCCUCUCCGGUUUAUAUAGACACCGGAGAGAGCUAGGGUUUACAUGGAGUCGCUUACAAGGAAGGAAAUAUAAUAUCCGGAUCGCCAAGCUUGUCUUCCACGCAAAGGAGAGUCCCAUCCGGACACGGGCCGAAGUCUUGAGUUUCAUGCUUCAAUAGUCCGGACGUUGUAUAUAGUCCGGCUGUCCGGAUACCCCCUAAUCCAGGACUCCCUCAGUAGCCCCUGAACCAGGCAUCAAUGACGAUGAGUCCAGCGCGCAAUCUUGUCUUCGGCAUUGCAAGGCGGGUUCCUCCUUCCGAAUACUCCAAGGUUAUUAUCGAACACGUAGACCGUGUCCGGAUCUGCAAAAUGAUCUUCACAUACCACCGUAGAGAGAAUGAUACUUCAGCUGACAACUUUUUAGACGACGUGAUAUGUCAUUUCGGUCAGGUCAUUAUUCGAACCGUUUUCCUACAACCAGCCACAACGCGUAUUGCGAGGCAGUUUCCUUGACACGUCUUGUCAAAGCAGAGAUCGUGUCCCCUUAUCACGGGAUUAUCAUCAAUACGGGUAUGGGUAAUCUCACCGUGCCAUCAAUCGUGGUGCUUGGGAAGUAGGCGAUUCUCAACGGGCUAGUGGGGAGGCGCACCGCUUUCGUCGCCUCUAUAAAGGGAUAAGAGUUUCCCCUUUUUACCCAUGCCUUCUUCCUCCUUUGCCCACUCUUUCCCCCUCGAGCUCCAGCGCCCUAGUCCGAAUCUUCUCCGCACAGUUAAACAUGUCUGGAGCAGGAGGUAAGUGGGUGGCUUCCACCGUGAAGGAGAAGAAUAUCAAGAAUCUUCGGGCGACCGGAUACUUGGCCGCAGACAUAGCGCACCGGCUACCAGAUGACGGGCAGGUCAUUCCAACUCCAGGACCCCACGAGAGGGUCGUGUUUCUCACCCACUUCGUCCGUGGACUGGGGUUUCCACUUCACCCCUUCGUCCGCGGGCUCAUGUUCUACUACGGGCUAGAUUUCCAUGAUCUAGCCCCGAACUUCAUCCUCAACAUCUCGGUGUUCAUCGUCGUAUGUGAGGCCUUCCUCCGCAUCAAGCCUCAUUUCAGCUUGUGGCUGCAAAUCUUCUGCGUGAAGCCGAAGAUUGUAAGAGGCCAGCAAGCGGAGUGCGGAGGAGCCAUGGUGGGCAAGAUACCUAACGUCACCUGGCUUGACGGAUCCUUUGCGGGAACCGUGAAGGGGUGGCAAUCGGGGUGGUUCUACAUCACCGAGCCGCGCAACGCCAACUGGGCGGCAGCCCCCGAGUUUUGAUCCGGAACCCCCAUGCGGCUCACCUCCUGGGAACAGAAGGGCCUGUCCUGGGGCGAAUCUACAGAGCUGACCGGAUUCAAAAACUGCAUCAAGGGCAUGAAGGACAAGAACAUCAAGCUUGUCAACAUGAUCCAAGUCAUGCUCGUUCGCUGGAUUCUAUCGUGCCAAAGGCGGGCAUCCAAUCUGUGGGAGUUCGUCCUGGCCGAACACCAGAUGCUUCAGAGGCUCUACGGCAUGAAGCACAAAAACGUGUGGAAGGCGUUGUUCAAGGCCUCUGAAGCUCCUCCUCCCAUAUCCAAGGACCGUGGGCUCCACGCCGCGCGGCCUCCUAGUCAGGUGAGUUCUCAGGCUGCCACCGGAUUCGGUUCUUCCCAGUAUAUUCAUGGGGGAGCCUCAAAUAAUUGUGCAUAUUUGUUCAGGAUUAUGCGGAGACAGCGGAGCAGAUUGACUGUCCGGCUCCGCUGCCAGAAAGCCCAGCUAAUGCUCUCCUAACGGAGAUGUUGGUCCCGGCGCCCUACAAGGGGCCGGAGAAGAAGGCCGAUAAGAGGGCCCCGGGGAUCCGAAAGGGUCUCCGACGUAAGGUUGUGCCAGAAGCUUCGUCCGAAGACGAUGAGGCACCCUCCUCCCCCAAAGGGGAAGAAGAAGAAGAAGAGGAGUCCGCCCUAUCCGAAAUGGACGGGGGGCCUGAGAAGGCGGACCAGGGGACCAGGAGAGGCCCCCGGUGCAAGGCCGUCAUACCCUUGUUGUCCGAUGACGACGAGGCAGAUUCCUCCCGCGGAGGCGGGGGGAAACAAGAAGAAACUCUACCUCCCCGUAUGGGGGGGAGAAAAAGAGGAAGGCCGCUCCGGAGGGGGAGGCCGGGACGUCCAAGAAGGGAAAGGCGUCCCUUCCGGACUACUCCGCCACCGUCGUCGAUAGCGAGGAGGGGUGGCUGCCCAGGAAGAAGCCCCUAGUGCGAUCGUAAGCAUCCGCACUCCAUCAUAAUUUUGCUUCAUAGUUUUGUUAUAACGCUGAACAUGUAUGCAGUCCGGCCAGGGCCCAUCACGAGGUGUCGUAUUCGGACGGGUCCUUGAGUGAUUCGGCAAUGAACUCACUGCCGACGGCCACUACUCCUCAGCCUGCGGAUGACACGGAGGUGUUCUCCCAAAGGCUCCUAGAGCGGGGGGAGGUGGCUCUGGAGGCGCCCCAAGGCGGCAUUCCAGAUGUCGGACACGCGGGGUUUAAGAUCCCCGCGGAUCAUGUUGAUGAUAGCCACCGCAGGCCGGGCUCUCAACCAAACACUGUUCCGGAGCCUUCAAUGGUUCCGGACUUAGGCGGACAGCCCCUCGUUAAGGAGGGCGAGCCGUCAGUGCCGAGGACUUCUGCUACGCCUGAGGCGCCGGAUUGUCUGCUGGGAGCGCUUCAUGGCGCUUCCAUAGAUGAAGAGCACCGUACUCUUAUGAGUGCGGUGAUUCAGAAGGUUUCGUCCGCCAAGUAACCGAAGCCUGCACCAGCCUCCUGACAGGCUUUGAGGUAAGUAGUAAAAAUGUGUGAAAUUACCAGCCGAUAGGUAGUAGCCCCUGAUACUCUAUUUGGUGUUCGGAAAGAAAAACCAAACGGAGGGUCAAUUAUAAUCUGCAGGAGUCUAACAAUAAGUUUGAAUGUGAAUAAGCAGGUUGUGCUGCUUGCCGCUGCGGUUUGUACGGCCCAGAUCGCCGAACUAAAACAGGACCUGGAGCAGGCGCAGGGAGAGCUCGACCUCACGAGGAGGCAGCUCGAAGAGAGCAAAGGUGAAUGAUUCUCCUCUCUCAUAUAAUGAAGGAUAGAUAAAAUUGGUUGUUCUAACGAUGAAGCGUCGUGAUUUGGUAACAGAGGCCACCACCAAAGUGGCAUCUCUCAAGAAAGCAUUGUCCGGGGCCGAACACAAGGUGGCCUUGGAACACAAGGAGCGCAAAAAGCAAGAUGCCCGAGUGGGCGAGGUACAACAAGAGCUCCAGGAACUCGGCAAAAAGUUUGAGUCCGUGGAGCACGAGCUUAAGGCGAAAGAGGCCGAGCUUGCGAAGGCCCUUGCAAGUAUAAAAGACGCCAAGGCCGAAGCCGAGAAGGCACAGCAGGAAAUCCAGGAGGCCAAAAAGAUAGCGGCGGGUAAGAAAUUCUUUAUGCAAAGCAAACAUGUGGAGGAGGCGUUUCUUUUACUUACCCGAGUCCGGAGCUCUCCAGGGGCAUUCGCAUAUCUGCCAUGCAGCGUAUCAGAUGUCGUGGAGUUCUACCGUGCUCAGGAGGGAGCUCAACGGAGAAGCUGUUCUGGUCCCAGUAUGCUGGGGCUGAAUAUCCAACGCCUUUGAGUGACCAACGGAAGCAGUUGGUCGAACUCCACAGAGCGGCCGAAGUGGCUAUGAAGGAUUUCAUAGUCCGGAUGUGGCCUGGUGAGCCCCUGCCCACCAGCUACUUCGGCCUGAUCAAGCGGAUGGUGAAUGCUUGUCCGCGACUGGAAGUCGUCAAGCGAUCCGUUUGCAUUAAGGGUGCCCGCCGGGCCUUUGCCCGUGCGAAGGUGCAUUGGGGCAAGCUGGAUGUGGAGAAGCUGGUGAAGGACGGGCCGCCGGAGGGCAAGGAGCAUCGCUAUCCGGAGAAGUAUUAUGAUGGCAUUAUGAAGGGCGCUCGCCUCGUGGCCGAUGAAUGUACCAGGGACAUAAUUUUAGAAUGAAUUCACUUCUGUCAUGUUUGUAAUUUAAAGACGAAGUUACUUGUGCUAUGUAACACUUUUGUUAUUUAAAAUAUUACCUUCUGUGCGGCUGUUUAUAAAAUUCUGAAAGUAGGCCAGUUGUCGGCUUCCGCCCCGAUGUAACUAGUACUGGGGUGUUCGUGGAAAACCCGGACACUCUUUAUCCAAAUGUUUGGUCCCUUAAGGAGGUGUCCGGCGUAGCGAACAAGGCAAUCGGACUAUGCGGCUUUAUAACCUUCACUUAGCCAUAGAAGUCUACAAUUUUAAAUUUUGGUGAAGUCCCUAGAAUCCGGAAGACCGAAUUGGGGCGCUAUAUACGCCUAGAUCGGACGAAGCCGAAUUAUCGCCUAAAGCGGAAAAAUCUUUAAGGAUUUUAAGACCUCUCGAACAGCGACCAGCUCUCGCCACAUCAUGCCGGUCAGUUUUCGGCUUUCUCUAUUGAGGUGCUCAUCCGGAAGAACCGGGGCACAAUCGCAGUAGUUCUCCCUGCGCUACCUUAGCCGAUAUAACAGAACGUAAGGCACCAACACAAGGGAGCCGGGCUAUCCCAACUGUAGACCCAAGACAUGAUUCGGAUCUGAUGCAUAUAAUGCUAUAUGUUCGGGGUGCCGCAUUGUUGAAAGUGUUCGGACUUGUCUUGCUGUAUUAUGGGGCGCCAUAAGAAGCCCCUGGCAAACUGAAUGUACCAAGGUGUACGGAUGCAAUAUCAAAUAGACAUUUGUAAGAAAAAAUGCUCAAAUAAGAAUAAUAAUAUGAUGCUAUAUAUGAUCUCCCAUUGAUGAAUAAUACGUUUAAGCGUAUGUUUGCAAUGAAUGCAUUAAGCGGAGAUAAAUAGGAUUAUUUGACAUACCCUAUCCAGGGGGCAGACUAUGUACAGAUAGACAAAGCAGGUAUAAUGAUCGUAAAUAGAUUCCACCUGGGUAUUUCCUUCUGUGCGCAAAGCCUGUUGCCUCCUUGGUUUUCUCUCUAUGUAGGUCAGUCAAUUCGGCUCUUCUGAAGGGGCUGCACUAAAGCAAUGUCCUGAAAGGUAAAAGGAAAGGUUACGAGGGUAUGUGGCGGUGAUACUGCACUAUUGACUGAGCCACUGCUGCGCCUCCGCCUGUGCCCAUGGUAUUUUAAGUGCGUAAUUGUGUACGCGUGGCACGAAUGCUUCUUUGAUGGGGUUUGAGCGGAGGCCGGACUGCUAGUCGUGCUCUUGGCAUGCCUGGUGAUCCUGUUGCGGGGUGCUCCGACCUUGCUUGAUGGUGCUUGAGGUUGUCGUCGUUGGAUUGGUGGUUUGCCAGAGGAGGCCGCAUUGUACUUCUACCGCGAGGGCUGCAGUAUGCUCUUCUGUACGGAGAGAGCGGUCCAUGUUUCCGUUGACUAUUAUGACCCCGCGCGGGCCUGGCAUCUUGAGCUUGAGGUAUGCGUAGUGUGGUACCGCAUUGAAUCUAGCGAAUGCGGUUUGUCCGAGCAGUGCGUGGUAACCACUAGGGAAAGGGACGAUAUCGAAGAUUAACUCCUCGCUUCGGAAGUUAUCCGGAGAUCCGAAGACCACUUCCAAUGCUAUAGAGCCCGUACAACGGGCCUCUACUCCAGGAAUUUCACCUUUAAAUGUGGUUUUGGUGGGCUUAAUCCUUGAAGGAUCGAUGCCCAUUUUGGGCACUGUGUCCUGGUAAAGAAGCUUCAGGCUGCUGCCGCCGUCCAUAAAGGACUCGCUUGAGGUGGAAUCCGUCGAUGAUUGGGUCUAAGACCAAUGCGGCCGAGCCGCCAUGACGGAUGCUAGUAGGAUGAUCCCUAUGAUCAGAGGUGAUCGGACAAGCUGACCAUGGGUUGAAUUUGGGGAUGACUGGCUCCAUCACGUAGACGUCCCGUAGUGCUCGCUUCCGUUCCCGCUUGGGGAUCUGAGUGGCGUAGAUCAUGUUGGCCGUUUUCACCUGGGGGGAAAUUUCUUCUGUCCCCCCGUGUUCGGACGCCGGGGCUCCUCGUCAUCGUUGAUGUGCAGCCCCUUGUCCUUGUUUUCGGCGUUUAUUUUGUCAGCCUGUUUAAAUACCCAGCAGUCUCUGUUGGUGUGGUUGGCUGGCUUGUCCGGAGUGCCAUGAAUUUCGCACGGGCGCUCUAGUAUACGGUCUAGACUGGAUGGUCCCUGAUUGUUCCUUUUGAAUGGCUUCUUCCGCUGACCGGAUUUGGAUCCGCUGAAUCCGGCAUUGACCGUCGUGUCUUCGGUGUUGUCAUCGUUGUUCCGUCGCUUGUGUCUAUUGCGCCGUAGCUUGCCAUUAUUGUCGUGGACAUCUGACGUGCCAGAAUGUGGCGUGGUGCUGCUACGAGCCAACCAGCUGUCCUCGCCCACGCAAAAGCGGGUCAUUAGUGUCGUGAGAGCUGCCAUGGACUUGGGUUUCUCCUGGCCGAGGUGUCGGGCGACCAACUCAUCACGGAUAUUAUGCUUGAAGGCUGUCAGGGCUUCGACGUCCGGACAGUCAACUAUUUGGUUCUUUUUAGUUAGGAACCGGGUCCAGAAUUUUCUGGCUAAUUCUCCGGGCUGUUGAGUAAUGUGGCUCAAGUCAUCAGCGUCCGGAGGUCGCACAUAUGUUCCUUGGAAGUUGUCAAGAAAUGCGUCUUCCAGCUUUUCCCAACUGCCAAUGGAAUUUGCGGGUAGGCUGUUUAGCCAGUGUUGAGCGCGUCCUUUGAGCUUAAGGGGAAGAUACUUGAUGGCAUGUAGAUCGUCUCCGCGAGCCAUGUGGAUGUGGAGAAGGAAAUCUCCGAUCCAUACCGCGGGGUCUGUUGUGCCAUCCUAUGAUUCGAUGUUUACGGGUUUGAACCCUUCUGGGAAUCCAUGAUCCAUUACUUCAUCGGUGAAGCAGAGGGGGUGUGCGGCGCCUCUGUGCCGGGCUUUGUCACGACGCAGUCCGGCUGCGUCUGACUGGUUAUGUUCGGCCUAGCCGGAUUUGCCGUUAGUGUAUCCGGUAUGACGGUCAUCGUCACGUGCUGCGGCGCGCCCCCGUGAUCUGUAGAUCGAUCUUGGUUGUCCUGCGGUGUUAUCCAGUCUAUCGCGCAGGUCCUGAGCAUUGCCCCGGGCCGUAGUAAACUGGCGCGGGGGUGCAGGCUGGUAUUCCGGCUGAUAUGCCGUUUUAUCCCAACCUCGAGGCGGCCGGUCAGCCGUGUGGCGCUCGAGUCCAUAUUCCUUGGCUGCCAGGACUUCUAUCCAUCUAUCUAUGAGCAGGUCUUGAUCAGCUUGAAGUUGCUGCUGCUUCUUCUUCAGGCUUCUCGCAGAGGCAAUAAGCCGGUGCUUGAAGCGCUCCUACUCCGUGGGGUCCUCAGGCACGCCAAACUCGUCGUCGCCGAGGCUAAUCUCGUCUUCGGAGGAUGGCAUGUAGUUGUCCUCCUCCAGAUACAUGUCUGUCGCCUGUUCGUCUGGGCUGUCCUGCCCAUCUUCCUGCUCGGCCUGCUCGAAGGCGGGCUGAUCGGGGUUGUAUUCAUCGUCGGCACCGUCCGGAUUGUUUUCGUCUCCGGUGCCGGUAUUGCCUUGGCGGGGCUUGGAGCUGCGCUGGCGACGCCCAUGCUUUGCUUUCUUCUUGGAGGGGUUAUCCUCCGUUGCCUCAUCGCCAUUGGUUUCUUUCGGAGUGUCCACCAUAUAUAUAUCGUAUGAAGAGGUGGCUGUCCACCGCCCUGUGAUCGGUGGCUCCUGUACGUCUCAUGCAUCAUCGUCCAUACCGUCGAUGUCUUCGAAGUAGAUGUCAAGCACGUCGAUUAAAUCAUUGAUCGUGGCAAUGAAGUGGGUGGUGGGUGGGCAGCGAAUUCCUUCGUCGCCUGCUUCCCACUCAAGCCGGACAUAGUUCAGCCCAGAGCCUCCUGACAAAGAGAGAGACUUUAAUGAGUUCAGCAUGUCGCCAAAGGGCGAGUGCUGAAAGAUGUCUGUAGCGGUAAACUCCAUUACCGGAGCCCAACCUGGCUUGGCUCGCUCGAGGGUAUGCGGACCGGAACCAAAGACCGGAUACGAGUCCGGGGGUCCGGGGUUACAAGCCUCCACAGAGGUGAGACCUGUGUUCGGCUCCACCGCCGAUGAGUAUGCGGCAUGUGGGGCGGAGUCCACCCCUCUGUCCUUAGGCGAUGCAACCUGCUCCAGAUUUAGAUCCGAGGCCGCUGCAGGGGUGAUAUCCCGAGCAUUGUCCGACAGCAGGUCUAGGUCGUGCUCGUCGUGACUGUCUGGCGCUCCUGGCACAGGCCCGAAUCCGUCGAAGAUCAAGUCUUCGCGAAUAUCCGCCGUGUAGUUCAAGUUUCCGAACCUGAUCUGGUGGCCAGGGGCAUAGCUGUCGAUCUGCUCCAUAUGACCAAGCGAAUUGGCCCGCAGUGCAAAGCCGCCAAACACAAAGAUCUGUCCGGGGAGGAAAGUCUCGCCCUGGACUGUGUUGUUGACGAUUCAAGGUGCCAUCCAGCCUUGCAGCGACGACACAGAGGAACUCUCAAUGAAAGCACCAAUGUCGGUGUCAAAACCGGCGGAUCUUGGGUAGGGGGUCCCGAUCUGUGUGUCUUAGGCUGAUGGUAACAGGAAGCAAGGGACACAAUGUUUACCCAGGUUCGGGCCCUCUCGAUGGAGGUAAAACCCUACUUCCUGCUUGAUUAAUAUUGAAGAUAUGAGUAGUACAAGAGUAGAUCUACCACGAGAUCGUAGAGGCUAAACCCUAAGAGCUAGCCUAUGAUGGUAUGAUUGUAAUUGUGAUCGGCCUUCUAAGGACCAUCCUCUUCGAUUUAUAUAGACGCCGGAGAGAGCUAGGAUUUACAUGGAGUCGGUUACAAGGAAGGAAAUAUAAUAUCCGGAUCGCCAAGCUUGUCUUCCACGCAAAGGAGAGUCCCAUCCGGACACGGGCCGAAGCCAUGAGUCUUGUAUCUUCACGCUUCAAUAGUUCGGACGAUGUAUAUAGUUCGGCUGUCCAGAUACCCCCUAAUCCAGGACUCCCUCACCUAGGGGAUUCGACGAAACACAAAUUCUAGCCGCCACAACUUCCAGAACCACCAGAUCCAAUCUAGACACCAUUGAUACGUCUCCAACGUAUCUAUAAUUUUUGAUUGUUCCAUGCUAUUAUAUUAUCUGUUUUGGAUGUUUAAUGGACUUUAUUAUACACUUUUAUAUUAUUUUUGGGAUUAACCUAUUAACUGGAGGCCUAGUGCAAAUUGAUGUUAUUUUGCCUAUUUCACUGUUUCGCAGAAAAGGAAUAUCAAACGGAGUCCAAACAGAAUGGAACCUUUGGGAGAAUCAUUUUUGGAACAAACGCAAUCCAGGAGACUUGGAGUGGACGUCAAGGAAGCAUCGAGGCAGCCACGAGGCAAGGAGGCGCGCCCCCCACCUCAUGGGCCCCUUGCAGCUCCACCGACCUACUUCUUCCUCCUAUAUAUACCCAUAUACUUUGAAAACAUCCAGGAGCACAAUAGAUCGGGAGUUCCGCCGCUGCAAGCGUCUGUAGCCACCAAAAACCAAUCGGUGCCCUGUUCCGGCACCCUGCCGGAGGGGGGGGGGGUCCUUCACCGGUGGACAUCUUCAUCAUCUGAGCGCUCUCCAUGACGAGGAGGGAGUAGUUCACCCUCGGGGCUGAGGGUAUGUACCAGUAGCUAUGUGUUUGAUCUCUCUCUCUCGUGUUCUUGAUUUGGCACGAUCUUGAUGUACCACGAACUUUGCUAUUAUAGUUGGAUCUUAUGAUGUUUCUCCCCCUCUACUCUCUUGUAAUGGAUUGAGUUUUCCCUUUGAAGUUAUCUUAUAGGACUGAGUCUUUAAGGAUUUGAGAACACUUGAUGUAUGUCUUGCAUGUGCUUAUCUGUGGUCACAAUGGGAUAUUCACGUGAUCUACUUGAUGUACGUUUUGUUGAUCAACUUGCGGGUUCAGUGACCUUGUGAACUUAUGCAUAGGGGUUGGCACACGUUUUCGUCUUGACUCUUCGGUAGAAACUUUGGAGCACUCUCUGAAGUACUUUGUGUUGGUUGAAUAGAUGAAUCUGAGAUUGUGUGAUGCAUAUCAUAUAAUCAUGCCCACGGCUACUUGAGGUGACAUUGGAUUAUCUAGGUGACAUUAGGGUUUUGGUUGAUUUGUGUCUUAAGGUGUUAUUCUAGUACGAACUCCAUGAUAGAUCUAACGGAAAGAAUAGCUUCGUUUUAUUUUACUACGGACUCUUGAAUAGAUCGAUCAGAAAGGAUAACUUUGAGGUGGUUUCAACCGUACAAUAAUCUCCUCGUUUGUUCUCUGUUAUUAGUGACUUUGGAGUGACUCUUUGUUGCAUGUUGAGGGAUAGUUAUAUGAUCCAGUUAUGUUAUUAUUGUUGAGAGAACUUGCACUAAUGAAAGUAUGAACCUUAGGCCUUGUUUCGAAGCAUUGAAAUAUCGGUUGUGCUCACUUUUAUCAUUAGUUACCUUGCUGUUUUUAUAUUUUCAGAUUACAAAAACUUAUAUCUACCAUCCAUAUUGCACUUGUAUCACCAUCUCUUCGCCGAACUAGUGCACCUAUAGAAUUUACCAUUGUAUUGGGUGUGUUGGGGACACAAGAAACUCUUUGUUAUUUGGUUGCGGGGUUAAUUGAGAGAGACCAUCUUCAUCCUACACCUCACACAGAUUGAUAAACCUUAGUUCAUCCACUUGAGGGAAAUUUUCUACUGUCAACAAACCUCUACACUUGGAGGCCCAACAACGUCUACAAGAAGAAGGUUGCGUAAUAGACAUCAAGCAGUUCUGGCGCCGUUGCCGGGGAGGUUAGUGCUUGAAGGUAUAUCUUUAGAUCUUGCAAUCGAAUCUUUUAGUUUUGUGUUUUAUCACUAGUUUAGUCUAUAGAAGAAAACUACAAAAAAUGGAAUUGAGGGUUCCUCAUAUGCUUCAUCUUUUUAAUGUCUUUCGUGAAAAUGAUGGGAAGGAAAAUUGUGCUCAAGUCCUAGAAGAAGAAUUACAUAGAAUGCUUGGCAUAAAAUAUGUGCAUGAUGAGCAUGAUUGCAAUGUUGUUAGUAUGAAUUAUUUGAAUACCCAUGAUGCUAAUGAUAUGCAAAGCCACAAGCUUGGGGAUGCUAUGUUUGAUGAAGACGACAUGUUUAGUCCCCCAAGUUUUGAUGAGAAAAUAUAUUAUGAUGAAAGCAUGCCUCCUAUUUAUGAUGAUUAUUGUGAUGACACGUAUGCUAUAAAGAAUAAAUAUAACCAUGAAACCUAUCAUCAUGAUUUUAAUUUUCAAUUGGAUUACGCUUCACAUGAUAGUUAUUUUGUUGAGUUUGCUCCAACUACUAUUGAUGAGAAUAAAUUUGCUUAUGUGGAGAGUAGUAAAAUUUCUGUGCAAGUAGAUCAUGAAAAGAAUGCUUUAUGUGCUGGUUAUAUGGCUAAAUUAAUUCAUGAUGCUACUGAAAAUUAUUAUGAGAGAGGAUCAUAUGCUUCUACAGAUUUGCUUGUUUUGCCUUCCUAUGCUAGUUGAUUAUUAUUCCCAUAAGUUGUUUGCUCACAAAAUCCCUAUGCAUAGGAAGUGGGUUAUACUUAAAUGUGUUAGUCAUAUUCUUCAUGAUGCUCUCUUUAUGUUUCAAUUCCUAUCUUUUAUGUGAGCAUCAUUGAAAUCAUCAUGCCUAGCUAGAGGCGUUAAACGAUAGCGCUUGUUGGGAGGCAACCCAAUUUUUAUUUUUUUUUCUUUGCUUUUUGCUCCUGUUUAGUAAUAAAUAAUUCAUCUAGCCUCUAGUUAGAUGUGGUUUUAUGUUUUAAUUAGUGUUUGUGCCAAGUAAAACCUUUAGGAUAACCUACAGUGAUAGUUAAUUUGAUCUUGCUGAAAAACAGAAACUUUUACACGCACGAGAAUAACUUUUAUAAAUCACAGAAACGUGAUUUUCAGUUGAUUCUUUUUGCACAAGAUUAAUAAACAAAUUACCUAGGACUUCCUAAUUUGGUAGAAUUUUUGGGGUUCCAUAAGUAUUUGAGAGUUACAGAUUGCUACAGACUGUUCUGUUUUUGACAGAUUCUGUUUUUCAUGUGUUCUUUGCUUAUUUUGAUAAAUCUAUGGCUAGUAUCGGGGGGUAUGAACCAUAGAGAAGUUGUAAUAUAGUAGGUUUAACACCAAUAUAAAUAAAGAAUGAGUUAAUUACAGUACCUUAAAGUGGUGGUUUGUUUUCUUGCACUAACGGAGCUCAUGAAAUUUUUUGUUGGGUUUUGUGUUGUGAAGUUUUCAAGUUUUUGGGUAAAGAUCUGAUGGAUUAUGGAAUAAGGAGUGGCAAGAGCCUAAGCUUGGGGAUUCCAAAGGCACCCCAAGGUAAAAUUCAAGGACAACCAAAAGCCUAAGCUUGGGGAUGCCCCGGAAGGCAUCCCCUCUUUCGUCUUCGUCUAUCGGUAACUUUACUUGAUGCUAUAUUUUUAUUCACCACAUGAUAUGUGUUUUGCUUGGAGCGUCUUGUAUAAUUUGAGUCUUUGAUUUUUAGUUUACCACAAGCAUCCUUGCUGUACACACCUUUUGGAGAGACACACAUGAAUCAUAAUUUAUUAGAAUACUCUAUGUGCUUCACUUAUAUCUUUUGAGCUAGACAAUUUUGCUCUAGUGCUUCACUUAUACCUUUUUAGAGCAUGGUGGUGGUUUAUUUUGUAGAAAUUAUUGAUCUAUCAUGCUUCACUUAUAUUAUUUUUAGAGUCUUUUAGAACAGCAUGGUAAUUUGCUUUGGUUAAAAAUUAGUCCUAAUAUGAUGGGCAUCCAAGUUGGGUAAAGUAAAAACUUUCAUAUGGAGUGCAUUGAAUACUAUGAGAAGUUUGAUUCUUUAUGAUUGUUUUGAGAUAUGAAGAUGGUGAUAUUAGAGUCAUGCUACUAGAGUAGUUGUGAAUUUGAUAAAUACUUGUGUUAAAGUUUGUGAUUCCCGUAGCAUGCACGUAUGGUGAACUGUUAUGUGAUGAAGUUGGAGCAUGAUUUAUUUAUUGAUUGUCUUCCUUAUGAGUGGCGGUCGGGGACGAGCGAUGGUCUUUUCCUACCAAUCUAUCCCCGUAGGAGCAUUCAUGUAGUACUUCGUUUCGAUAACUAAUAGAUUUUUGCAAUAAGUAUGUGAGUUCUUUAUUACUAAUGUUGAGUCCAUGGAUUAUACACACUCUCACCCUUCCACCAUUGCUAGCCUCUCUUGUGCCGCAUAGCUUUCGUCGGUACCAUACACCCACCAUAUACCUUCCUCAAAACAGCCACCAUACCUACCUAUUAUGGCAUUUCCAUAGCCAUUCCGAGAUAUAUUGCCAUGCAACUUUCCACCGUUCCGUUUAUUAUGACACGCUCCAUCAUUGUCAUAUUGCUUUGCAUGAUCACGUAGUUGACAUCGCAUUUGUGGCAAAGCCACCUUUAUAAUUCUUUCAUACAUGUCGCUCUUGAUUCAUUGCAUAUCCCGGUACACCGCCGGAGGCAUUCACAUAGAGUCAUAUUUUGUUCAAAGUAUUGAGUUGUAAUUCUUGAGUUGUAAGUAAAUAAAAGUGUAAUGAUCUUCAUUAUUAGAGCAGUGUCCCAUGUGAGGAAAGGAUGAUGGAGACUAUGAUUCCCCCACAAGUCGGGAUGAGUCUCUGGACUUUAUGAAAAAUAAAAGAGGGCAAAGAAGCCCAAAUUAAAAAAAGAGGCCAAAGAAGCCCACUGAAAAAAUGAGAGAAAAAGAGAGAAGGGACAAUGUUACUAUCCUUUUACCACACUUGUGCUUCAAAGUAGCACCAUAAUCUUCAUGAUAGAGAGUCUCCUAUGUUGUCACUUUCAUAUACUAGUGGGAAUUUUUCAUUAUAGAACUUGUCUUGUAUAUUCCAAUGAUGGGCUUCCUCAAAAUGCCCUAGGUCUUCGUGAGCAAGCGAGUUGGAUGCACACCCACUUAGUUUCUUUUGUUGAGCUUUCAUACACUUAUAGCUCUAGUGCAUCCGUUUCAUGGCAAUCCAUACUCACUCACAUUGAUAUCUAUUGAUGGGCAUCUCCAUAGUCCGUUGAUACACCUAGUUGAUGUGAGACUAUCUUCUCCUUUUUGUCUUCUCCACAACCACGAUUCUAUUCCCCAUAUAUUGCUAUGUCCAUGGCUCACGCUCAUGUAUUGCAUGAAGAUUGAAAAAGUUUGAGAACAUCAAAAGUAUGAAACAAUUGCUUGGCUUGUCAUCGGGGUUGUGCAAAAUUUAAAUAUUUUGUGUGAUGAAGAUAGAGCAUAGCCAGACUAUAUGAUUUUGUAGGGAUAACUUUCUUUAGCCAUGUUAUUUUGAGAAGACAUGAUUGCCUUGUUAGUAUGCUUGAAGUAUUAUUAUUUUUAUGUCAAUAUUAAACUUUUAUCUUGAAUCUUUCGGAUCUGAACAUUCAUGCCACAAUAAAGAAAAAUUACAUUGGGAAUUAUGCUAGGUAGCAUUCCAGAUCAAAAAUUCUAUUUUUAUCAUUUACCUACUCGAGGACGAGCAGGAAUUAAGCUUGGGGAUGCUUGAUACGUCUCCAGCGUAUCUAUAAUAUUUGAUUGUUCCAUGCUAUUAUAUUAUCUGUUUUGGAUUUUUAAUGGGAAUUAUUAUACAAUUUUAUAUUAUUUUUGGGACUAACCUAUUAACCGGAGGCCCAGUGCAAAUUGCUAUUUUUUUUGCCUCUUUCAAUGUUUCGCGGAAAAGGAAUAUAAAACGGAGUCCAAAUGGAAUGAAACCUUUGGGAGAAUCGAUUUUGGAACAAACGCAAUCCACGAGACUUGGAGUGGACGUCAAGGAAGCAUCGAGGCGGCCACGAGGCAGGGAGGCGUGCCCCGCACCCUCGUGGGCCCCUCACAACUCCACCGACCUACUUCUUCCUCCUAUAUAUACCCAUAUACUCUGAAAACAUCCAGGAGCACAACAGAUCGGGAGCUCCGCCGCCGCAAGCCUCUGUAGCCACCAAAAACCAAUCGGGACCCUGUUCCGGCACCCUGCCGGAGGGGGGAUCCCUCACUGGUGGCCAUCUUCAUCAUCCCGGCGCUCUCCAUGACGAGGAGGGAGUAGUUCACCCUCGGGGCUGAGGGUAUGUACCAGUAGCUAUGUGUUUGAUCUCUCUCUCUCUCUCUCUUGUGUUCUUGAUUUGGCACGAUCUUGAUGUACCGCGAGCUUUACUAUUAUAGUUGGAUCUUAUGGUGUUUCUCCCCCUCUACUCUCUUGUAAUGGAUUGAGUUUUCCCUUUGAAGUUAUCUUAUCGGAUUGAGUCUUUAAGGAUUUGAGAACACUUGAUGUAUGUCUUGCAUGUGCUUAUCUAUGGUGACAAUGGGAUAUUCACGUGAUCUACUUGAUGUACAUUUUGGUGAUCAACUGGCGGGUUCAGUGACCUUGUGAACUUAUGCAUAGGGGUUGGCACACGUUUUCGUCUUGACUCUUCGGUAGAAACUUUGGGGCACUCUUUGAAGUACUUUGUGUUGGUUGAAUAGAUGAAUCUGAGAUUGUGUGAUGCAUAUCGUAUAAUAAUGCCCACGGAUACUUUAGGUGACAUUGGAGUAUCUAGGUGACAUUAGGGUUUUGGUUGAUUUGUGUCUUAAGGUGUUAUUCUAGUACGAACUCUAUGAUAGAUCGAACGGAAAGAAUAGCUUCAUGUUAUUUUACUACAAACUCUUGAAUAGAUCGAUCAGAAAGGAUAACUUUGUGGUGGUUUCGUACCCUACAAUAAUCUCUUCGUUUGUUCUCUGCUAUUAGUGACUUUGGAGUGACUCUUUGUUGCAUGUUGAGGGAUAGUUAUAUGAUCCAGUUAUGUUAUUAUUGUUGAGAGAACUUGCACUAGUGAAAGUAUGAACCUUAGGCCUUGUUUCGAAGCAUUGCAAUAUCGUUUUUGCUCACUUUUAUCAUUAGUUACCUUGCUGUUUUUAUAUUUUCAGAUUACAAAAACUUAUAUCUACCAUCCAUAUUGCACUUGUAUCACCAUCUCUUCGCCGAACUAGUGCACCUAUAGAAUUUACCAUUGUAUUGGGUGUGUUGGGGACACAAGAGACUCUCUAUUAUUUGGUUGCACGGUUGUUUGAGAGAGACCAUCUUCAUCCUACGCCUCCCACGGAUUGAUAAACCUUAGGUCAUCCACUUGAGGGAAAUUUGCUACUGUCCUACAAACCUCUGCACUUGGAGGCCCAACAACGUCUACAAGAAGAAGGUUGCGUAGUAGACAUCAACCAUCACGGAGGGGUUGAUCAUCCUCACUGGUGCCUCUCCGAUGAUGAGUGAGUAAUUCAUUGUGGACCUACGGGUCCAUAGGCAGUAGCUAGAUGGCUUCCUCUCUCUCUUUUGAUUCUCAAUACAAUGGUCUCUUGGAGAUCUAUUUGAUGUAACUCUUUUUGCGGUGUGUUUGCUAGGAUCCGAUGAACUUUGAGUAUAUGAUCAGAUCUUUUAUCCAUAAAAGUUAUUUGAGUUUCUUUGAUCUCUUAUAUGCAUGAUUACUUAUAGCCUCGUAUUUCUUAUUCAAAUCUUUGGUUUAUUUAGGCCAACUAGAUCGAUGUUUCUUGCCAUGGGAAGAGAUGCUUUGUGAUGGGUUCGGUCGUGCGUAGUUCUUUCCCGGUGACAGAAGGGGCAGCAAGACACGUAUUGAUCAUUGCCAUUAAGCAUAACAAGAUGGGGUCUAUUCCUACAUGAAUAGAUCUUGUCUACAUCAUGUCAUCAUUCUUAUUGCAUUACUCCGUUUCUCCAUGAAUUUAAUACACUCGAUGCAUGUUGGAUAGCGGUCGAUGUGUGGAGUAAUAGUAGUAGAUGCAGGCAGGAGUCGGUCUACUAAUCUUGGAUGUGAUGCCUAUAUAAUGAUCAGUGCUUGAAUAUCGUCAUAAUUAUUUGAGGUUCUAUCAAUUGCCCAAUAGUAAUUUGUUUACCCACCGUAUGCUAUUUUCUCGAGAGAAGCCACUAGUGAAAUCUACGGCCCCCGGGUCUAUUUUCUCAUCAUAUAUUUUUAGAUCUAUAUUGCUAUUUGCCUUUUUAUUUAUUUGCAUCUUUUAUUUUCAGAUCUAUAUUACCAAAACCCCAAAAAUACCUUGCUGAAUUUUAUUUGCAUCUACCAAUCUAUCACUUUACCAAUCGUUUACCCAAGAGGGAUUGACAACUCCUUUUUCGCGUCGGGUUGCAAGUAUUUGUUCUUUGUGUGUAGGUACCGUUUACAUAGUGUAGCUUGGUUCUCCUACUGGUUUGAUAACCUUGGUUCAUAACUGAGGGAAAUGUGUACCGAAGCUGUGAUGCAUCACCCCUCCCUCUUUGGGGAAAUACAGACGUAGUUCAAGCAACAUCAGAGUAGUAGUGAUGGUGGUUUUAAUUUUUGAGGUUACCUUGUUGAUACCUUUGUCCAUGAGAUACUUGGCAAUGGUGUUCUCAUUGGGGGCGCCGAAGAGAGACACCUUGGAGGUGGGAGAUGUGGCAAUGGUCACGGUUGCCAUUGCCAUUCCUUCUCCACUUGUAUCUUCAUCAUCAUCAUCGGAGGCGUACUCUUCAUGUGCCACCAAGCCCUUUCGAGGUAUCUUCUUGGUGAAGUUGUUCUUGCUUAGGAAAGACUUGGCUUUGUCUUUGCGAAUGAGUUUGCUACCAUUGUCUUCCCUCUUCUCAUAAGGGCACUCCGCCACAAAGCGACUCACAUUGCCACAAUUGUAGCAAGUCCUCACUCGUUGCUUGUUCUUUGAGCCACUUGAGUUGUUCUUGGUGAAGUUGGGCCUUGAGUUCCUCUUGUCACCCCAAAAUUGCCUUGAUGCCAGAGCCAUGUGCUCGUGGUAAGCAUAUUUGGUGUCUUCGGGGCAACCUCUUCUUCUUCCUCCUCUUCUUCUUCCGGAAUGGCCUUGUCCUUCAAGGCAAGGGUGGGAAGCUUUCUUUGUUCGGACAUGGGCAAGAUCAUUGUCGUUGGUCUUGUUCAUGAUGUUCAUGGCAAUAAACUCAUCCAACUCUUCACCUGAGGUUAAGGUGUGGAAUCCGGCCUUUGACGAACCACGGAGGACAUGGCCUUGUUGAAUGGCAUGAUGGCCUUGAGAAACUUGCGCUUGAUCCAAUUGUCAUCUGUAUCCUUGCUCCCAUGGUCUUGGAGAGCAACCUCAAGAGUUUUCACCCUCUGGUAGAGAUCAUGUGGAUCCUCAUCUUCUAGCAUCACAAAUUCAUUGGCCUUGUCAAGGAACACUUGAAAGUUGGACCGUUGGAUGCUUGAGCUCCCCUUGUACAAAGAUAUGAUGUGUUCCCAACAAUCCUUUGCACUAAUGAAGGGACGCAAGUCAGAUAGAUCUUCGAGGGGAACUGCAUCUUUGAAGGAUGAACAAGGUGGAGUGAUUGUAUUGAUUGUCCACUUCUUCUCCUGGGUGAGGUUGUUUGGAUCAUCCAGGUAGAAGCCUUGCUCAAUUAUUCUCCAAAGGUUUGUUGAGCUGUGACUCAAAUGAGACUUGAUAUGAAAAACCCAAUUAGCAAAAUCACCCUUAACAAGUUUAGGAGGGGGGCCAAGAUGGUUAAUGCACCAUGUAGGGACCGGUCCUCCAUAGACCAGGGGAGGAGGAACCGAGGCAAAGGUUCCCGUCCCAUUCUUGUCAUGAGGGGGAGAAGUUUGAGUACCUUCAGUCGCUUCCUUGCCAGAAUUGUCCCCCGACUCCGAUGUGGUGGGAUUAACCACAAGCAAUGGAUCAGGGGUGCGUUUAAACCCCUCAAGCAACUCCUUAAACACGGACUUGACCUCGGUCAUCAUCGACGUCUUAAGUGAAGCCAUGGCUUUAUUUAAGUUGUCUUGAGUGAUCGAGUUCAACUCCACGGCCUCGGGUACUUCAUCCCCAUUAGCAUCAUCGUCAACCAUACUCUUCGGGUGAUGAAACCUUUAAUAAAGAGACGAGGCUCUGAUACCAAUUGAAAGGAUCGAUAUGGUUCACUAGAGGGGGUUGAAUAGGCAACUACCAAUUUUUAGCUUAACUUGACAAAUUAGGGUUUGCAACAAAUAGGUUGUAUAGAUAUGCGACUAGGUGAACAACCUAUAUGAUGCAAGCAACACAAACAACACAAGCAAGCUAGAGAUAAAACACAAGUAAAGCUUGCACAAAGUAAAGGUAAGAAAUAACCACAAGUGGACCUGGUGAAGACGAUAAUGUGUUACCGAAGUUCCUUCCCAUUGAGAGGAAGUAUGUCUCCAUUGGAGCGGUGUGGAGGCACAAUGCUCCACAAGAAGCCACUAGGGCCACCAUAUUCUCCUCAAGCCCUCACACAAUGCGAGAUGUCAUGAUUCCACUAGUGGUGCCCUUGAAGGUGGCGACCGAAACUUUACAAACAAGGUUGGGGAACUCUCCACAACUUAAUUGGAGGCUCCCAACACCACCAUGAAGCUUCACCACAAUGGAAUGUGCCUCCGAGGUGAACUCAACCAUCUAGGGUGCUCAAACACCCAUGAGUAACAAGAUCCGCAAGGAAUUAGUGGGGGAAUCAAAUUUCUCUUGGUGGAAGUGUAGAUCAGGGCCUUCUCAACCAAUCCCUAAAAAAUCAACAACUUUGAUUGGCUAGGGAGAGAGAUCGAGCGAAAAUGAGCUUUGGAGCAACAAUGGAGUUUGGGGGGAGGAAGAGGAAAAGUCUUCUUGAGGAAGAAGACCCCAUUUUAUAGUGGCAGACAAAUCCAACCGUUAUCCACCUCUCAGCCCGCAACCAAGCGGUACUACCGCUCCAGGAGCGGUACUACCACCCCCUAAGGGAUGCAGAGGAGAGUAGAGGAAAAGGGGAGAACAAAGGAACGGGCGAUGGUAGCCGCGGUGGUAGGGCAGUACUAUUGCCUAUAUGCGGUACUACUACCUCUACUAUCGCUCCUACUUCCGCCUAUUUAUAGGGGCAAAUACGUAGCAUGGUAGAGACCUGGAGGUACUACCAUAAAACCCGACACAAAAAAAUUGAGGCCACAACCACGAGCGGUAGUACGAGCAGGGCUAGCAGCGGUAUUACCGCUGAUGCCCACGGUACUACCGCUUGCAGCACUCCACCACUCCUACAGCACACAAGAUGGAGAACUCCAAAGAGGCGAAAAGUGGCGAUGGGUGAAAAAUGAGAGUGUACAUGUUGAUUCCACCCAAACCUUUCCGAUGCAGACCCCCUCUUGAUAGUACGGUUUUCCCUAUGACUCAGGUCCACCAAAAAAGAAACGCAGGAGAGAAAAUCGUCUUCACUUGAGACUCCAAGGGGCAUGAAUCCUCUUGUGCCAUAUGCUUGAAAGUCUGGAAUGCUCAAUGCACAUGAUUAGUCCGCAAACACAUUGUCAUCAAUCACCAAAACAACUUAGGAAGAAAUAUGCCAUAACACACACAAUACAAUGGAAAAUUGUAUAUGUGCACUAGUUCGGCGGAGAGAUGGUAUUACAAGUGUAGUAUGGAUGGUAGAUAUAGGUUUUUGUAAUAUGAAAUAACAAAAACAACAAGGGAGCAAGUAACAUAAGUGAGCAGAAACAGUAUUGCAAUGCUCGGAAACAAGGCCUAGGGUUCAUACUUUCACUAGUGCAAUUUCUCAAUAGUGCUAACAUAAUUGAAUCAUAUAACAAUCCCUUAAUGUGCGACAAAGAAUCACUCUAAAGUUCUUAUCAAUAGCAGAGAACAUAAGAUGAAAUUUUUGUAGGUAGCAACCCACCUCAAAGUUAUCUUUUCGAUCAAUCUAUUGAGCCAUCCCUAUAAGUAUUACAAACAGACCUAGAGAUCGUACUACAAUCACCAUAUAAUACGAAUCAAUCAACUUCAAUGUCACCUAGAUACUCCAAUGCCACCACAAGUAUCCCUGAGUUAAUUAUUUGAUAUGCAUCAAACAACUUUAGAUUCAUAAUAUUCAAUCCAACACAAAGAACUUCAAAGGUUACCCUAAAGUUUCUAUCAGCCAAAGUAUUAUAAAAACAUGUAUAUGUGCCUAGAUUACCCAAUGUCACCAAGGGAAUCUGCAAGUUGAUUACCAAAACAUAUAUCAAGUAACUCAAUAGAAUACCCCAUUAUCACCAUGGUUAUCCACAUGCAAGAUAUACAUCAAGUGAUCUCAAAUCCAAAAUAUUCAAUCCGAUAAGAAUGAAACCUCAAAGGGCAAGAUUCAAUUCAUCACAACAAAGAUAGAGAGGGAAGAACACCAUACGAUUCCACUAUAUUAACAAAACUCAUGGUACAUCAAGAUCAUGCCAAAUCAAGAACAAGAGAGAGAGAGGGAGAGAGAGAGAGAUUGAACACAUAUCUACUAGUACAUACCCUCAGCCUCAAGGAUGAACUACUCACACAUCACCGUGUGAGCGGAGGAGAAGUUGGUGGUGAUGGUGAUGGAGGAUAUGUCCCCAGUGGCGUCCCGGUGCCAUCGGAGGAGAGGGGGAGGGGGCCCUCCUGUCAGUGUCAAAACCGGCAGAUCCCGGGUAGGGGGUCCCGAACUGUGCGUCUAAGGAUCUAGGGUAACAGGUGAUAGGGGACACGAUGUUUACCCAGGUUUGGGCCCUCUUAAUGGAGGUAAUACCCUAUGCCCUGCUUGUUUGAAUUUGAUGAGUAUAGGGGUUACAAGAGUUGAUCUACCUCGAGAUCGUAAUGGCUAAACCCAAGAUGUCUAGCCUGUAUGAUUAUGAUUCUGCCUCUACGAACUAAACCCUCUGGUUUAUAUAGGCACCGGAGGGAACUAAGGUCGGUUUACAGAGGAAGGAAACUACACAUCUGGUUGCCAAGCUUGCCAUCCACGCAAAGGAGAGUCCCAUCCGGACAUGGGAGAAGGCCUCCGGUCUUGUAUCUUCACGGCCCAUCGGUCUGGCCCAUGUCACAUAGGCUGGCUCCCCGAGGACCCCAUAAUCCAGGACUCCCUCAGUAGCCCCCGAACUUAUCUUCAAUGACGAUGUUGUAUCUGGCUUCGUGUCUUCGGCUUUGCAAGGCGGGUUCUCUAUUGUACUUCGUAUAGUUCGACUUUUACAUUUAAAUACCAUAUCCUUUAGCUUCUGUGCUGCCGUCGCCUUGGCUUCCACGUGUCAAAUGAAUACGAAGGGUCUAAGCAUUUUUACAAGUAACCCCUUGACCAUGUAGGAAAGGCGUCUAUUUAAAGAGAUUGAAUCUCAGAUGCCAUUCCUCACCAGGCGAAAAUCUUUAGAGCUUGUCAUAGGAAACCAUCCAAAAAUGGCCAGUGCUACUAGUUCUUCCUCGCCACCCCCCCCCCCCCCGGCCCUCAAAAAUAUAAUUGGGANNNNNNNNNNNNNNNNNNNNNNNNNNNNNNNNNNNNNNNNNNNNNNNNNNNNNNNNNNNNNNNNNNNNNNNNNNNNNNNNNNNNNNNNNNNNNNNNNNNNNNNNNNNNNNNNNNNNNNNNNNNNNNNNNNNNNNNNNNNNNNNNNNNNNNNNNNNNNNNNNNNNNNNNNNNNNNNNNNNNNNNNNNNNNNNNNNNNNNNNNNNNNNNNNNNNNNNNNNNNNNNNNNNNNNNNNNNNNNNNNNNNNNNAAUUGGGAGAGCUGCUCGGUAUCCCUCACCCAGUUGACCAAGCUUCAGGCGCAGGGAUAUCUCCCAUCCUCGGAUCUAGUCCCCGUUCGGGCGGGAUUAACCUCUAUUAACAGCGAAGCCCUGGCAGAGAAUUUCCCCAAUCUUGCUCAGGGGGAGCGGGUGUGCUUUGUUUCCUUCCUGCUGAGAGGCGUGGGAUUUCCGAUCCACCCUUUCCUCAGAGGUCUCUUGGAGUAGUAUGGCCUCCAACUAUACAAUCUCACACCGGGCUCUAUUCUGCACAUCGCAGGCUUCGUUGCUCUUUGCGAGCUGUUCCUAGGCUGUGAGGCCCAUUUCGAGUUAUGGAGGAAAUUUUUCUACCUCGUCCCCCUCUCCCAAAAGUGAUCCAUAUUCGAGGUGGGCGACGCCGAAGUGUGGCGCAUAGCUGGAACAGGAUACCUGUCCGGCACUCCGAAGAAGGCAUCCGAAGAGUGGCCCUCGAAAUGGUUCUACAUUGAAGAAGUUUUUCUCCCGGAUCCAAUCCGGCAAGGCCUUCCCGAAUUCUCCACUGCUCCUUUAAAGAAGCGUGCCAGCUAGCGUCCCCAAAGCUGUGAGGAAGAAGACAUUGCAGAGAUUAAGAGGCUAAUGAGUAAGAUCAGAAUACUCGCCCACUCCGGACUGUCUAUAGUCGAGGUAAUGGCGAUUUCAAUAACACGAUGCAUUCAGCCACUCCAAUCCAGAGGGCGUCCCAUGUGGCAUUACAACGAGGAGGACGACGCAUCACGCUAUGGGCGCAAGGGUCUGGCCAACUUUACUGCUUUGGUUGCCAUGUUGGCUGACCUUUACAAAGGAGAGAAGGAAGAAUUCACUCGCCUUAAAUGCCGAGAAGGCUUAUCCAUGUAUAAUCCCAUCGACCGGGUGAGUUUUUGACCAUGGGCCUCACUCAAUCUUUUCCUUAAUUAUGCUUAGUUAAACUUAAGCCAGCUACCUUUAACAGGAAUGGAGAAAGGUCGUUGCGGAGAUCUAUAGCCCCGCUCCAUAGCCGGAGAACCAUAUUCGAGACCUAGAUCCGGGAUUUGAAGAGGAUCCGGACAUACGUAUAGAAUUUAAGGAGGGACUCUUUUAUCAAGCGAGCUACGACGGCACAGAAAUGGCCAUUAUAGCUGAUUACCCCGGCCUUCUCCCCUCCUCCCAUGUAAUUACCCAGGAGACAUCUCCUCAAAAAGAGUUUUCCCCUUGUGUCUCACCCACCGCACUGUAUCAUGCUCCCAAGGGGCAUCGCUUGUCCCAUCGCACUGCGGCAAAGGCGUCUUCUAAGAAGACGAUGCCCGCACAAGGCGAGUCUUUGAAAAGAAAAGCAAACGAUGAUACUGACAGGCCCUCUCCUUCAUCAAAGAGGUAUGAGUUUUAACACGCACUCAGGGGAUAGAUCGGCCAGUGACAUUUCAUGUUGUGCCGCAUCGUAGGAGGAGCGUACGCCGAACUGUAUCCGGAGACCUGGUCGGCCAUGCACAGGCUAAUCAGGUCCCGGACCCUACUACAAUGCCUGGGGUUAAUACGGGGGCAAUGCCGGAUUGUCGUCUCCUCGAGGAUUCAGAUAAUGUAUCCGUCACCAACUCCGAAGUGGAGAGUGCGAUGAAUCAUCGGCGGCGGAGAGCGGCUAUGCGCAACCCAAAUUUUACCGAAGAGGCAUUCAACGCUCUCAGCUCAGCGGAUGCUUACAUCCGAGCUGCUCGUGAUGGACUUGCUAGAGCCACUCACCGGCUUUCAAAGGUAUGUGGGUAAGAACUUUUUGUGCAGAUUCAGUAAUCAUACGCCAGUAGCCCCCGAGUCUUGAAGCAGUUGGCCUAACUGAUUUAAGGGUUGUUGCAUCAUCAGGUACUCUAGGAGAAAAAUAAAAUCUUAUCCAAGGAGCUAGAAGAAUGCCAAACUAAGAUAACUGUGGCCACUGUCGAACUAGAAAAUUUAAAGAAAUCCCAGAAGGCACCAGAAGGUGAACACAACAGUAGCCCAGAAAUAAGAUUCCAUGCCUACAGUGAUGUUGCUUAAAUAUGCAUCAUUUUGUUGGUAGGGUCGACAGAUCAGCUGGAGGAGAGGCUAAGGGUUGCUCAAGUAGACAAACAACAUGCCAAAGGGCAAGAAGCUGCUGGUCAACGUGUAUUAACACGAACAAUUAAUGAGAAGAACAAACUACAUGAUGCAAACAUCAAGCAAGCCGAAGAGCUGAAGGACGUAAGAGCCCAACUAUCGGAUACCUUGAAGGAGAACAGAAAGCUGAAAGGCGGCAUAUUCAGUAUGCUCUUUAACCUGACUUUCACACGGUCCCCUAAUGGAAAGUUUUACGAGUUUGUUUCUAUAGGUGUGCUCACUGGGCGUCCCGAUGGAGAACUGUAUGGAUUUCAAGGCGACCUGCUACAAGAGUUGUACAAAGUGCACGAGCGAGCUCGGAAAGCAAUGAGGAGCAUGUCGAAGGCUUUAUGGCCAUCCGAGUCUCCUCCAGGAAGUAUGGAGGAGCUCGUGAAUUUAUCCAAGGGAUCUCGUGGCUGUUUUGAGCUAUGGAAGAUAUCGGCAUGUCGAGAAGGCGCACGAGAAGCCUAGGCCAUGCUGAAAACGCGGUACACCACACUUGAUCCGAAUCAUAUGGCCCGGGUCGGACCUCGGGGACCAGAUGGACAAGAAAUUCCUAUUAGCUUCGUGUACGACCAAGUAAAGAUAGCCGCUAAGUAUUCUCAACAGGAUUGUAAACUAGACAACCUGUUAGAUGGUCUAGAGGAGGAAGAAGUUUUUGAGGCCGAGUAGCAAUGUACUUUUAUCGGCAAACUUAUCUCCAGCCGAAUUGUAAAACGAUUGUCAUGGCAGACUUUCUGCUUUGGCCUCCGAAACCCAAGGUUUGGAGUGUUUCCGAAUACUAUACUGUCGGUAAAUACCAAAGUAUGUUCGGAAACCAGGUAGUCCGGUCAUAAUUGCUUGAAUAGACAACUUGUAUUCAUGGAGUUAUGUUAUAUUACAUUUGAUCAUAAGAAACAUCUUCCAGAGCGAAUAGUUUCGUUAAGGGUUCCUCUCCCUGGGCUAGCAUGCGCUUGUUCGGUGCAUGCCGAAGCUAUGAUGCUAAAAAUCACAGUACUUGUUAUAUUUUGGGGGCUUAUAUUGCAGCAAGGGCAGUUCGUCUUGUUUCCGCUGACCAAUUAUUCCCUUAAGAACGCUAGCUUUCGGCUUCACCCGUAUGAGGUACAUGUCCGGAUGACCCGACUAUAACAAUCGCAGAGGUGCUCCCUUUAUGCCCUAGUCGAACAAGCGGGAACGUAGGGCAUAAGCACAGGAGCCAGGCGACCCAGCUUGGCAAAAACUUAAGUCAUAAAGGUGCAUAUAAUGGCGAAGAAAAGACAUAUAUGAGUAGACAACACAUAUAUACGGUGAGCUUAAUGCUCGAAAAAUAAUAAUGAUAAUAAGCUUCUAUGAAAAGAAGCCCCCAGGUAUUGUGGGGGUAUGUACAUUUAAGGAUGUAUGCCCCUCAAGUGUGUGGUUUAUCCGAACAUGAGCUAUAAGUCGUAAAAAACGAGAAAAAGAAAUAGGUGAAAGGGGGAAAGAAGGAAUGAGAAAAAAGGUAUGAGUGCGGACUUAGGAGUAGAAUCUUCGGAGCCGGGCAACAUUCCAUGGGUUUGGUUCCAAGCGAUUAUCCAAAGCAUUGUGGAGGCGAUAGGCUCCUCCAGUGAGAACUUCAUCUAUAAUGAAGGGACCCUCCCAUUUGGGCUUGAGCUUGUCCUUUUUCUUCUCUGGUAGGCAUAGAACGAGUUCACCGACAUUGUAAGUCUUUGCCCGUACCUCCCUGCUUUGAUAUCGCCGAGCCUGCUAUUGGUAAAAUGUGGAACGGGUCUUCACGACAUCGCGCUCCUCCUCUAGGCCAUCCAGAUUGUCCUGCCAAUCGAGCUCAGCUUCUCUCUCUCUCUGUACAUGCGCACUCGAGGUGAGUCAUGAAUAAUGUCGCAAGGCAAGACUGCCUCCACGCCGUACACCAUGAAAAAAGGUGUAUAUUCAGUCGUGCGGUUGGAUGUGGUCCGCAGCCCCCAGAGUACGGAGUCGAGUUCCUCAACCCAGUGCUUGUCUAAUUAUUGCACAGAUUGCACUAAUCUGGGUUUGAUGCCGCUCAUUAUCAGGUCGUUAGCUUGUUCGACCUAACCGUUUGUCUGAGGGUGAUAUACGGAGGCGUAAUCGAGCUUGAUGCCUAAAUUAGCGCACCAAGUUUUCACCUCAUCGGUCGUAAAGUUAGAGCCGUUGUCGGUAAUAAUACUGUGCGGGACACCAUAACGGUGUACGACACCGGAUAUGAAGUCUAUAACCGGUCCGGAUUCAGCCGUUUUGACUGGUUUGGCUUCUAUCCACUUAGUGAACUUGUCGACCAUAACCAUUAAAUAUUUCUUCUUAUGGCGUCCCCCUUUAAGGGGUUCGACCAUGUCUAGCCCCCAGACCGCAAAAGGCCAAGUAAUGGGGAUUGUUUGCAGGGAAAUUGGUGGCAUAUGGCUUUGGUUGGCGAAAAGCUGGCAUCCAAUGCAGCGUUGUACGAGGUCAUGUGCGUCUGCUUGGGCCGUGAGCCAAAAGAAACACGUACAGAAGGCCUUACUUACAAGGGCCCGAGCUGCGGCGUGAUGGCCACCAAGACUGGCGUGUAUUUCAGCCAAGAGCUGUCGUCCCUCUUCUUCGGAGAUAUAUCUUUGAAGGACUCCGGUAGUACUUUUCUUGUACAGUUCCCCUUCAUGAACUUUGUAGGCCUUCGAACGUCGAACAAUACGACGGGCUUCAGUCUGAUCCUCAGGGAGCUCAUUCCUAGUAAGGUAGGCGAGGAAAGGUUCAGCUCAUGGGGCAAUUACAGCCAUGAUUUCAUGAGCCGAUGGUGUUAUUUUGGUGCCUGAACCCCCGAUGAUAUCAGAACUGUGUUUGGAAUCUGGGGGUAUGAUCGGCUCCGGACCAGUGUUGCCACACCAUGGAUGGCUUGAAGAGCCUCUCUAUGAAGGUGUUAGGUGGGACGGGGUCGCGUUUAGCACCCAUGCGAGCGAGAAUGUCCGCAGCUUGAUUACUCUCUUGAGCCACGUGAUGAAAUUCGAGCCCCUCAAACCGAGCUGAUAUCUUGAGUACGGCGUUACGGUAAGCUGCCAUCUUUGGAUCUUUUGCAUCAAAUUCUCCGUUUAUUUGGGAUAUUGCGAUGUUUGAAUCCCCGCGCACCUCUAGGCGUUGUAUGCCCAUGGAGACAGCCAUCCGGAGUCUGUGCAAUAGGGCUUCAUAUUCAGCUGCAUUGUUGGAGUCUGUAUACAGUAUUUGGAGUGCAUAACGGAUUGUGUCUCCUGUGGGGGAUGCCAAGACGACACCAGCCCCGAGUCCGGCUAGCAUUUUAGAGCCAUCGAAGUGCAUCACCCAGUUGGAAUAUGUGUUGUACUCUUUAGGGAGUUCAGCCUCUCUCCAUUCAGCGACGAGUCAGCUAACACCUGAGAUUUAAUGGCUCGUCAUGGCUUGUAAGUUAUUUCAAAUGGUAAGAGCUCAACGGCCCAUUUGGCAAUCCGACCGGUGGCGUCUCGGUUGUUUAUAAUAUCAUUGAGUGGUACUUCGGAAGCCACCAUGAUCGAGUACUCUUGAAAGUAGUGUCGCAGCUUGCGGGAUGCCAUGAAGACUGCAUAUGCUAUCUUUUGAUAAUGCGGAUAUCGAGAUUCGCAUGGUGUGAGGACCGUCGAUACGUAGUAUACUGGUUUUUGGAGUGGGAAUUUAUGUCCCUCUUCCUCUUGUUCAACGACGAGCACCGCACUCACCACUUGGUGAGUUGCAAAUAUGUAGAGCAACAUCGGUUCACCGACGUUUUGUGCGGCCAGGAUUGGGUUGCUUGCUAGCAAAGCUUUUAUUUCCUCUAGUCCGGCGGUGGCAGCGUCCGUCCACACGAAGUGAUCGGUGCGUCGGAGAAGUCGGUACAAUGGCAAUGCCUUUUCUCCUAAUCUGGAUAUAAAAUGGCUCAAAGCUGCCACGCCCCCAGCUAGUUUUUGGACCUGCUUGAGGUCUGUUGGUGUUGCCAACUAUGGCAGGGCUCAGAUUUUGGAUGGGUUUGCUUCGAUUCCUCUAUUAGAGAUAAUGAACCCAAGCUGUUUUUCGGCGGAAACGCUGAAAACGCACUUUUCCGAAUUAAGCCAUAUAUCAUAUGAUCCGAGGUUGUCGAACAUAAGGCGUAAAUCAUCCACCAGUGAUUCAACAUGCUUGGUUUUGAUGACUACGUCAUCCACAUAUGCCUCCACAGUCUUGCCGAUUUUCUUCUCCAAGCAUGUUUGAAUCAUGCGUUGGUAGGUUGCGCCGGCGUUCUUGAGCCCGAAAGGCAUAGUGUUGAAGCAGAAGGGCCCAUACGGGGUAAUGAAUGCCGUUGCGGCCUGGUCAGAUUCCUUCAUCUUAAUUUGAUGGUAUCCGGAGUAUGCAUCGAGAAAACAUAGUGAAUCGUGUCCUGCAGUUGCGUUAAUAAUCUGGUCAAUGCGAGGUAGUGGGAAGGGGUCCUUAGGGUAGGCCUUAUUAAGGUCUUUGAAAUCGACACACAGGCGCUAGGAUUUAUCCUUUUUUCGGUACCAUGACCAGGUUUGCUAGCCAGUUUGUAUGUUUGAUCUCUCAGAUAAACCCGGCUUCGAGUAGCUUGGCUAGCUCCUCCCCCAUAGCCUGUCGUUUGAGUUCAAAAAAUCGACGCAGUGUUUGCUUGACUGGUUUGUAUCCCUUCAGUAUAUUGAGACUAUGUUCGGCCAGUCUGCGUGGGAUACCUGCAUAUCCGAAGGGUGCCAGGCGCAGAUGUCCCAAUUCUCACGCAGGAAUGCGCGUACUGCGGCUUCGACCGCUGGAUCCAAUUGUGCCCCAAUGGAAGUUGUCUUCUUGGGGUCCAUUGGGUGGACUUGAAAUUUGAAUAUUUCGUCCGAUGGUUUGAAGGAAGUGGAUUUGGGUCUCUUAUCGAGGAUUACGUCGUCCCUAUCCACUAUGGAACGUAGGGUGGUUAAUUCUUCGGCCGCUGGGGCCUCAGAUAAUGCCUCGAGGGCCAGAGAGGUGGUUUUGUUUUCGGCGCGGAGUGCUAUGUCUGGAUCACUGACGACAGUGAUAACUCUGUUUGGCCCGGGCAUUUUCUGCUUCAUAUAUCUGUAAUGGGGUAUGGCCUGGAAGCGUGUGAAUGCGUCUCGCCCCAGCAGGGUGUGAUACCCGCUAUUGAAAGGUGCCACAUGGAAGAGUAACUCUUCGGACCUAUAGUUCUCUGACGUCCCGAAUACCACGUCGAGUUUAAUUUUUCCCGAGCAUCUUGCUUCCCGGCUAGGGAUAAUGCCUCGAAAGGUUGUGUUACUUUGCUCAAUGCAACUCAUGUCCAUUUGCAUUUUAUUGAGCGUGUCUUCGUAAAUGAGGUUCGGUCCGCUGCCACCGUCCAUUAGCACUUUAGUGAGCCGACGACCGUCCACGAUCGGGUUUAGGACCAAAGCGGUUGGUGCCCGGACUGAGCGGGAUCUUGGUUCGUCAUCGGCAUUGAAAGUGAUCGCCGAAUCGUUCCAAGGAUUUAUUGCUGCCACUUGGCAGACUUCAGCGAGGUCACGGAGCGCCCUUUUGUGACGAUUUUUUGAUGAAAAGGUCUCGAAUACCGUAAAUACUCUGAGAUUGUUGUCCUCCAAAGAGUAGUUCUCUGGGGUAGUGUUGGUGAGGAUACCCUCACCUCUCUUGGCCACUUGCCGGAGUAUCCAACAUGCUCGAAGGUUGCGCGUUGGUUCGGUAUUCAGCAUCAUGUGAAUUUGACAGGGCCUGUCGAGCCAUUCAUCGAGGACAGUUCUAUGUCCCAUAAAGGGUUUGGUUUUCUUGUCCUGGGGAUGAUGAUCGGGUGUCCUGCGAGGGUGCAUCCUUUUUGCCCGUCCGGGAGAUGGCCUAAAGGCCUGUGGUUCCCAGUGGGUUGUCUGGGUCUUCCAAGCGCUUUCCAUUGCACGAUACUUUUGUACUAUGUGUGCCAAAUCUGUAAAGUGCAAUAUGUAACGGCAGUUGAGGGCAUUAAGGAUUCUCUCAUCUGUACAGUUGUUACAAAAUACUAAGAUCACGUCAUCGUCGCAGCAAUCUUUGAUCUUGUUUUUAACAAGGAGGAAUCUAGCCCAGAAGUGAUGGACUAUUUCCUGAGGCUGCUGCUGCACGUACAUUAGGUCGCAUAUAUCCAGAGGACUGGAAUUGCUUGGGCAAUAUUGCUUGUGGUGGGUGGGCGGGAUUAAAUCCGAACCCUGACCCACUGUGGAGUCCGGAGUUUGAAGAAUUUUCGAGGCUACCAACCCGAACUUCGGAGUGUCCGGUGAAUUCUCAAGCUCGACGCCUGAUUCUAUGUUCGAAGGGCAGGAAGUGUCCUCCCGAAGACGGGUGUCCGGCUCUUCGAGCUCGGAAAUCCGAACAUACUUUGUUCUCAACGUAGGAGAAGAAUUAUUGUCAGCUUGUUCCUCUAGAACCGCUACCUGAUGGGUGAUCGGUGGAGAUUUGAUUUCUCUCCGAUCGGAUUUAAGCCCAAUCCGAUCAUAGUCGGUUGCGACCCCCAGGGUGGCGAUGCGAUCUAGCAGUUUGUUCAAGGACGCUACAUCUGUCGGAUCCAUCUUGUCGGAGUAUUCAGGGCCGAUGCGGAGAUGGUUUUUGGUGGCAAGCUGGGCUGCCUUCGGCUUAAAGGCCGAACGGGCGCCCAUGGUGAAGUUGCCAAGCCGGAGGGUUUACCUUGAAACCGGGGCUCCUCCGAAAUUGAUGUUGUCCUUGAUGACAAGGCGAGCCAUCGACCCUUCUGUCGACGACACAGAGGAACUCUCAAUGAAAGCACCAAUGUCGGUGUCAAAACCGGCAGAUCUCGGGUAGGGGGUCCCGACUGUGCGCCUAAGGAUCUAAGGAACAAGAGACAGGGGACACUAUGUUUACCCGGAUUUGGGCCCUCUUAAUGGACGUAAUACCCUACGUCCUGCUUGAUUGACUUUGAUGAGUAUAGGGGUUACAAGAGUUGAUCUACCUCGAGAUCGUAAUGGCUAAACCCUAAUGUCUAGCCUGUAUGAUUAUGAUUCUGCCUCUACGGACUAAACCCUCCGGUUUAUAUAGUCACCGGAGAGAACUAAGGUCGGUUUACAGAGGAAGGAAACUACACAUCCGGUCGCCAAUCUUGCGAGCCACGCAAAGGAGAGUCCCAUCCGGACACGGGAGAAGGCCUCCGGUCUUGUAUCUUCACGGCCCAUCAGUCCGGCCCAUGUCACAUAGGCCGGCUCCCCGAGAACCCCAUAAUCCAGGACUCCCUCACCUCCUCCUCCUCCUUCUUCUUCUUCUUCUUCCUUGGCCCUGUGGGAGAGAGGGAGCUCUCCCCUAGAUUGAGUCUCUCUGUUGUCUUCUGUUCCUCGCCACUGUUUCCGGCGCCCUUCACCGUUUCUUAUAUUCCCGGAGAUAUGUAACUCCGAUUGGGCUGGCAUUUUGAGGGGAUUUUUAUCUAGAAAUCAUAUUUCUUUCGGCGAAAGAAGGGUUCCGACCAACCUAUGAGGUGCCCAAAAAACAUCAGGGCGCGCCCUGUUGCCUUGUGGGGCCUCGGGCACCGUCUUGCAUUGAUUCUAUCUCCCAAAAAUCACACAUGUUACAUAAAAAUCUCCAUAAAUUUUCAUCGUGUUUGUAUUUCGUUUGACAUGGUUUUUCUGCGGAAAAAAAACAGUAACUGGCACUGGGCACUAGAUUAAUAUGUUAGUCAAUAAAAUAAUAUAAAAGUGCACUAAAACCAUAUAAAAUUAUUGUAAACAUGGCAUAAAUACUUCAUAAAUUAUAGAUACAUUGGAGACAUAUCAUGGUGGUACCGGUCUUGGUCAUCACAAUGUUAUCCCAUAAUAUCUUGGCAUUUGUGAUGUGAAUGUAAGGCCUCUUCUGCUUGUGUGCCAUGCCCUUUCUUAUGAGCAUAAUUGUGGUGUCGUUGAGAUGCUUGUCAUAUGCUUCACCCAGUGUGAGAUUCUUUGGGUUGACAGGGUUGUAGCCAUUCUCCAUAGUCUCCAACAUCUCGUCAUUGGCGAAACGAAGAUGAUCCUGCAUCUCAACUCUCCACAGAGGAAAAUCUGUAGUGUGUCAUCAUCAAGAAAAGGAGGCUUACCCCUAGGGUUAUACUUUGAUUUCUUCACUUUAGAUUUGCAUAAAACCAUGAAACACUAGAGGUAUCACUCGUAGGAGGUUGUUGGCCCAAAGGGGGGAGAGUCACAUUUUUCCCCGGAGCCAAAAUACUUGAAUUAACAAGUGGUGUAGGAUUCGAAGUUAAUGCAAUCAACCUCAUUUGGACCAAGGCCUCGAUACAGGCAUCAUGAUCCUUCUUUUUCUUAGCAAGGGCAUGUUCCAAAUCCUCAGAGGUGGGAGACUUAUGCACUUCCGAAGAAGAUGCAUCCUUCUCUUUAGGAUUUGAAACAAGGGGGUCCCAUCGGGGUUCAUCUCGCUCUAGGAUCGAUAUGGUUGAAAGGGUCGAUAUGGACCUAAAGGGGGGAUGAAUAUGUAUAAUUGCAAAAUUUAACUGUUACUUGGCAAUUUUAGGCAAUAUUGCAGAAUAUGAAAGUGUGGCUAACAAUUGCAAAGGUGAUUCUAGUGCUAAGUAACUACAACAAGUAGCAACGUAAGCAAGCACAAUAUAGUGAAAGUAUAUACUAAGAGACAAGUAACCACAAGUAGGGAGCUAGGGUUAGGGAUAACUACAACACCGAGAGACGAUGAUAUAUGUUGAUGUUCACUUCCUUGGAGGGAAGCUAGUCACCCUUAGAGAGGUGGAUGUUACCACGAAGGCUUACACUAUUCUCCCCUUGAGACAACACCACGAAGGCAUUGCUUUCCUCACCGAAGAACUCCUACCGCCUAGGAUUCUCCAACCUCCAAGAGUAAGAAGAUCAAGGGGAAAGGCUCAAAGACUUGCUCAAAUCACAAAUUCCUUUGGUCACAAGAGGGAGAGAGUGUAGACCUAUCACUUGAUUGGAAGAACUCUCAAGAACUCACACAAAUGCUUCCGGGAUCUAAAAUUUGGUGUGAGGGAGUGCGAGGGAGCACUUCUAGGGUUUUUAGAAUAUUUUGAAUGUAGUGGUCAAGCCUCUACCGGAUUGGUAGAGGGGUAUUUAUACUAGAAGUACUAAAUUGGCCAUUGGAACCACUUAUGCUGCGAACUUACCGGACGACCGGUGGUUACGGACGUCAGGAGGCAAAACAAGCACCAGAUGUCCGGUAGGAUUACCGGUCGUCCAGCCGCUGGUACACGCACAAGGAUAGGUGAAGUGUAAAGUGGUUGUUGAUGCUUGACGUCGGGUACUUGCCGGACAUCCGGUGCCUCGAGAGGUACCGAACAUGAGGCAUCGGACGUCCGGCAAGUACCGAAAAUUUGACAAUUUGGCUGUGGUGAGAGAACACGUACCGGAUUUCCAUAAAGAGGCGGCCGUCCGAUGGCAUAGGAAGAACUGGACGUCCGAGGAGGAUCGGUCUUCCGACAACUUGGCUUUGCAUGGGAUACACCGGACUUUCGGUUGAGGUCAGAAACCCGUCUAUUACGCUUUAUUAAGAAACACCGGAUUUCCGGUAAGUACCAAACAUCGAGUGAGCUAUGAGUGACCGGACAUCCGGUGAAUACCGGUCGACCGAUGAGACAGAUACCAAAGAGGACACAACCUAGGGCAAUGAAAGCGGACAAUAUGAUGGAAUGCCUAGGACUGUAUUGUGGGUGUAAGAGUGAAAGAAAGGAAGUAUCUCUUGAUUUUGAGUAAGUCUUUCAGGGCAUGUACAAUGGUGCUAUCUUAGGAGUGCCACAUAGGAUAGAUGAUGAGGUGGAGGAGAGAGAAUUCAUAAGAAAAGACUUGUCUUCUCUUAUUUAAGAGAAGACAAGAGGUGAUCUCUUAGCACAAUAUGUCUCACCAUAUUUUUAGGAAUUGCUAAUUAUUGAAGAUAACGCUAAGAGAUGACCCAUUGUAGACAAAUUUUAUUGUCAUCUCUAAAUCACAUGCAAGACUUAAGAUAAGACUAUCUUAUCAACCAUUGUACAUGCCUUCAUAAGUACUGAUGAUCCCCUCUUAAUAGUGCGGGAUCCCCAUACACAAGAACAAACAGAAAAAAGUCUAACCUAUUUGUCUUGUUUCUCCGUUCUUGAGCAUUAUACACAUAAGUAGUCAUGAUCCACACAUCAAUCCUCAAGGACUAAAACCUGAGAUAUACUUAACAAAUAUGAUUAGUCUCAUAUAUGUAUAUUAUCAUCAACAUCAAAACAUGAGUAGCUAGUAGUGAGAGUGAAAGAAAGGAAGUAUCUCUUGAUUUUGAGUAAGUCUUUCAUAAGUACCGAUGAUCCCAUUUUAUUAGUGCAGGAUCCCUUUACACAAGAACAAACAGAAAAAGUCUAAGCUACUUGUGUUGUUUCUCCGUUCUUAGAGCAUUAUACACGUAAGUAGUCAUGAUCCACACAUCAAUCCUCUGUGACUAGAACCUGAGAUAUACUUAACAAACAUGAUUAGUCUCAUAUAUGUAUAUUAUCAUCAACAUCAAAACAUGAGUAGCUAGUAGUGAGAGUGAAACUCUCCUUGCAGUUUUCGGGAAGUUCCUUCACAAAUCAUGACGCAUCUCGCAUCUGUUUGUUCUUUCUUUUUUUACUGAAAAAAGGUACUAGCAUUCCUGCUAUUUGCGUAGCUCGUCAAACUCUCGGAUGUGUGGAUCAUGUGACGCUACGUACUCACAUAUGGCCAUAUGGGGCUCAAAAGCCUCAAAUCUUCUCACCGAAUGGAAUAACGAAAUUGACCGAGACUCCCACCAGAGAUCCAGAUAACUCACCUGCUGAGAUGAAUCUCAGAAGCGCAGAAAGUGCGUAUGAUGAAUCGAAAGCAAGCAAAUCAAGUGCCCCCGGCAGACGCUGACGCUGGGCCCUGCGUGCAUGGGGUUCCAGAUAACUCUUUUCCUUUUCCCCUCCUCUUUUCGUAAAAUAAAAACGGUGAACCUUAGUGCGAUGGAACUGAGAAAAAAGGGGCGGAAAAGACUGGAUGCAGCCACCGAUCGGUGGCGUCGCUUUUCCCGGGCCAAAAGCGUGUUGGAGAGGAGAUCCCGAUAGCCAAAAGCGUGUAUCAUGUACCGCCACCUUGCGUUUGCGUAGCUGCAUGCAGCUGGCAGCAAUGUACGUUCGACAUUCAGUGCGUUGUCGACCGUCGGUCCGUUUCACCUCAGGAGCCCGGGAAAACUGCGGAUCCGGCGCAGGUUUUACCUUGUGUUUUCCGGCGGGACCGUAGUCAGGAAUUUCACGUUUUUACGGUCUGAAAGUACGGCUCGUCCGUCGUGCACCGCCGGUCCUUGUCUUCGUACUGGCAAUGCAUGCCAUAUUGAGCUUACACAGGCCAGCCAGGGUUCGUCGUGUUGUGUGUUACACAGAAACGUACAUCACCACGUGAUAUAAAAAAAACGUACAUCACCACGCAUGCGUGUAACUGGUAGACCAGAGAAGGUGGCCGGGACAUCGAAAUGUGUUUGAGCCAGAUGCUGUGGGCGGGGUGAUAGGUGAGAUGCUGCACUGGACCGACGGCUGAAGGCUUACUAAUCGAAAAAGAAAACUUUGCCCUCGUUGGGAUAAACAGUUGUUUUUCAUCAAGUAAUAGAAACGUAGGAAUAUCUUUCAGCUCAUAGGCUCCAUGGAGUGCGGAAAUUUCAACUUUUCCUAAAAAAAAACUCGAAAAUCUUAUAUAUUACUUCCUCCAUUCCUAAAUAUUUGUCUUUUUGGAGAUUUCAAAUAGACUACCAUAUACGCAUAUAUAUAGACAUAUUUUAAAAUGUACAUUCACUCAUUUUGCUUCCUAUGUUGUCACUUGUUGAAAUCUCUAAAAAAACAAAUAUUUAAAAACGGAAAAAGUAUAAAAGAAAGACAAAAUCCCACGUCUACAUGUAGAUGCUUCAUACAUACAUCUACAUGAACGUACUACCUGUGACAAAAACAAGAAGUUUAUUAAACUUCAAAAUAUAUCUCUUCCAUUAUGAAAAAACUAUCGGCUCCGUAGAGCCUGGACCCAUGGACCCACUUGGAGGAAGUUAAAAUGCAGAAAUUAGAAAAUACUCCCUCCAUCCCAUAAUGUAAGACGCUUUUUGAUACUACACUCUUACAUUAUGAAACGGAGGGAGUAGCUCAUAAUAUGAUGGUAGUUGCCAACCUAAAAAUUGCCUUCCGCCGUUCCUCUGAAGAAAAAAAAAACUUUGACCAGAUGUACUUUUCUUCAAAUCCACACAGGAAAAACGAAAAGUAUUCCAAAGCAAUAGUUAUGCUCAUUUCCUAAAAACCAGAUGUGUCUACAUGGUACUUUCCUCUGGAAUUCUCGUUUCUAUGGUUUUUACGUGAACAAAAAAAACUCUAAACCGAAUGCAUAAUACCAUUACUAUGGUACACACGACUAAGAGCAACUCCAGGCGCGCCUCCAAUAAGGCCCCCCAGACGACUUUUCGGUCGCCGGCGCCGAAAAAUCGGCCCAAUCGCGUCCCCAGGGGCCCAUUUUUCACCGGCUCGGGUCGAAAUUGGCGCCGAUGGACCCAACUCGAACCCGGCGCGCUGGGGGCGCUCGGGGGCGCCGGGCGAAUCGUUUUUGGCGCGAAAGCGCCGUGGGGCAGCCGCGUCAGCGACACCGACCGCCUCGUCUUCCCGACGCCUCGGUUUUCCGCGGGGAAUCAAUGGCAAGGCUGCCGCCGGUCAGCUUUGCCAUUGAUUCCUCACGGGCGGCGCAUCACGGGGCGUCGCGUCACGGGCGGCGCGCCGACGCCUCCCCUCCCUCGGACGCAUACACACGGACGCGGCGCGGCUAUAUAUGGUCUCGCUCACCGCGUUGGAGUGCCACCUCUCCACACCUCUCCCAAGCGCCGCCGCCGAGCUCCUCUCCCCACCACAGCCCUCCCUCUCCCGCCGGUCUCUUCUCCCCAGCCACUCCCUCUCCCCGAUGGUCGGGCGUUUCCCCGGAGACGAGGCGGCGGCCAACGGCUUCGGCCGCUGUUCGCUCCACGAACAGAAGCCCUGGCUCCUGUUACAGGCGAACAUCCCGGUGGCGCCGCCGGACAUGCGCGCCGGGCCGACGAGCUGGAGGCUCAGCAAUGGGGGAGUGUCCAUUCCCACGUUGCCCGACGCCAUCAACAAGUCGUCGUACUUCGCCGACGAGGUCGAGAUCGCGCGCGCCUCUCUCACCGACGCCGAGCGCUCCCUUCCCCAGUACGUCGCCGACAACAACGUGGCUUGGACGGCGUACUUGGAACGCCGGCAGCAGCAGCGGCUGGCGUCCACCAACGGGGCGCCGGUGGUCGGCGGCAUCAAGAACAGCGAGGGGCGCCACCUCUGGUGGGGCGUCCCCGGCCGCACCCUCGACGGCGUGCUGACGCACCUCGAGGGCGGCAACAACCCCCCGUUGGCGUACCCCCCGGCGAGGACGGCCGCCCCGGCGCACCGCCGACGCGACGGGCAAUGGGUGCCAAGGAGGUUCGGCUCCUCCUCCUCUUCUUCCUCGUCGCGUUCUUCCUCCCAAUCCUCCGGCACUCCAUCGCUGCUCGGCGUCAAGGUCGAGCCCGCGGCGGAGACGUCGCUCGGCCGGCGUACACGCAGUGCCGGCAUCGUCAUCAGCGAGGGCGGCCGACGCGCCUCCUCGUCGGCUCCUCCCCCGCGCUUCGUCAAGCCGAAGACGGAGCCGGGUCUCGCGCCGGUGAAGAUGGAGCCGGGGUUGGCGCCGGUGAAGGCGGAGCCGGGGCUGCUGGCGCCGGUGAAGGCGGAGCGCGGCGAGGUCCAGCUGGACGACGACGCAGCCCUUGAAUGGGCGCGCCAAGACUCCCUGAAGAUGGCGAGGGAGCGCCAGCGCUUCGCGCAGCGCCGCCGAGGCCGCGACGAAGGCGGCGUCGUCAUCAUCGACGACGACGACGACGCGCCGCCGCCGCCGCCACCUGCCGGGGAGGGGUCCAGCAGGGACGCCCGAGUCAAGGAGGAGAAGGCCGACGAUGGCGGCGACGACGGCGACUUCUCGGCCUUCAGCAAGUUUUUUUUGACUAAUUUUUAUAUGCAAUGGCAUGUUUUAGCCCAAGUUUGCGAAUAUAAAGCCCAAGUUUAUCAAAAAUUGACGUGUUUCAGCCCAAGUUUGUCUUUUUCUUUUUUUUCCCACGCCUGGGGCCAGCCCUGCAGGCAGCGGCUGGGGGCCAACUCGCCCCAGCCCCACUUUUUACGCCGGGUCACCCCCAGGCGGCGAUUUUAGGCACCCCUGGGGAACCAACGGCUGGAUAUGCUCUAACGCAACGCAAUAACAUGUAGGGUCUAGCGUUGUGUGGUCAACUUGUGAAAGCCAAGCAGCUUUGCAGAAAGAAAUAGAGAGAAAAAAAGAUACCCUUGCAGGGGCACACGAAUUAUAUAUAUGCAAGUUUAAAUCUGCAGCAGCAGGACAACCAAAAGAGAAGGGCAACGCGUGUCCUGCAUGCACGGCGCGGCCGGGGUCGUCUUUUGCGCCGACGUCCCUAGUUUGCACGUGACGAUGCAUCGAUCGAGCGGUAGACUUGAGAUGCAUGCAUGCGAUGCGAGCUCCGUCGCACGAGACCCCUCGUGCGGUCAUACAAAACUGUCCGCCACGAACCCUUUGGCCCAGUCUUACAUUAACCCAAAGGCUUAGAGUAAAGCAAGGUAAAACCCAACCCCACGUACCCCUCCCUCCUUUCUCAGUUAUAAGAUGUACUAUUUUUUUCUUUUCCGAAUCAAAUGUAUGUAUAUAAACAUAUUUCGGAUUUUAAUGCUUCUGCUUACUUAUUCUAGUCUGUGUGUAGUCCAUACUAAAAUGUCGAAAACGUCUUAUAACUCGAAAGAGGUGAUACUUUCUUAUUGGUUCUUAGAUUAGAUUAGAGCAAGUAAAGGUACAAAAAAUCAAAAGAAAAUCAUGACAGCUAGAAAUUUACAUGUUGUUGGCAAUUAGUGCAUGUGAGUUGCGAACUUCCGAUGAUCAACCUAGUAUGAGUUUCGAACUCAACACCUGCCGGCAUACAUAAUUUGUGGUCUUUUGGUGUCGUAAAUAAAUUCUUCGAGACCUUACACAGGCAGAGAUCAAAAUAAUACUCCCUCACUAAAGUUAGUGAUCUAAACGCUUUUAUAUUUCUUUAUGGAGGGAGUACGUUUUGUCAAAUAUCAAAAAGGCAGUACGCCCGACUUGACACAAAGCUGAGGAGCCUCUCGUUUCGCCUAAGAAACUAAAUCUAAGAGAGGGGCACCUCAAGCUUUUUUACAUUCUCCUAAGUGCAUGUAUACUAUAUACGGCGCAGAUCGUAGUUUCGGGUUGGAUCGCACUGCAGGACCGAAUUUAUACGGGACAAAAUAGUUGGUUACGUACGUUGAACGUGGGUGGCUGGACUGCGGCGGACCAUGCACCCAAGCAAGGCCGACCUUGGCCGGACCACCUUCCUGGUCGACAACAUGGGCGAUAACGACCCAGCCGGAUGAUGCACCCAACCACAACCCACACCACACUCUCAUGAUGUAUAUUCACUCACUCACUCACUUUUCUCUUUUCUCUUCCUCUUUACAAUGAGAUAACAAGAAUAGAUCAGCGGAAUACGUAUCAAGAUUCACACACACACACACACACACACACACACACACAUGACAUAUCUUGUGGUGCCGAAAAGCGGGUCUAAAGCAUACAAAACGACACGGGUUUUUCUACAAAAAUCUCUUCUUGAAAGAACGAGAAACGUCGUCGACGCCUGGAUAUAGUCCCUUUUUUUUCUCUCUUUUUUGUCCUCUUUAUUACAACUGGCAGGUAGAAACAUAUCAAUGAAAUAUAUGUUGAGAAUCAUACAUAUCUUGUGCCAAAAAGUGCAUCAAAUUUUGGCAUAAGGCGCCGAAGAACGACAGUCAAAGUCCCCGUCUUAUACACUCGCUUUUCUCUUUCUUUCCUUUUCCCUUUACAACAGGAAAAUAAAAAUAUCUAGAUUCACUUAUAUUUGUGUGGUGCCGAAAGGCAGGUCGAGAAUUGGAAUGCAUGAAGCCACAGCAUUCUUCCGGAUCCGGCCAUGUCAUGGUAAACAACAAGAAUUGUUGGCGUGGUCUCCCUUUCCCCAAGCACCGGCUUUUAACUCUAGAACCAAGCCUUUGGUGUCAACAACCAGGAAUCAACAAGGAGUGAGAUGGUUUAAGGACAAAUUUUGUUAACCUAGGGUUAUACAAGAUCGAUCAAACACUAUGUUAGCAACCUCAACAUUUGGGAGAACCAGAAAUGGGACGGGGUUAAGCUGUGUAGCUAGAUAUAUCUCCUAUAGUUCGCAAUUUCGAUCCCCGUACAUCACAUGGUUUCUCAAAGGAGGCUAAAUGGCUGUAUGGUUUUUGGAAGGAGUAUACAUGCUUUUUCCUCUUUUCUCAUCUUCUUUACAGCUGGUCGGUAGAAACAUAUCAAUGAAAUAUAUGUUGAAAAUCACUCAUAUCUUGUGGUGCCAAAAGGCAGAUUAUUUUGACAUAUAAGGCGCCACAUCGCUCUUACAGGGGCAUGGCGAAGAACGACAGCCAAAGUCCCCAUCUACAUAUAGUCGCUUUUCUGUUUCUUUCUUUCUUUCUUUCCUUUUCAACAGGAAAAUAAAAAUAUCAAGGUCCACUUAUAUUUUCAUGGUGACGAAAGGCAGGUGGAGAAUUGGCAUACAUGACACCGCGGCAUUCUUCCGGAUGUCAUGGUAAACAACAAGAAUUGUCGGCGCGGUCUCCCUUUCCCCUAGCACCGACUUUUUAACUCUGGAACCAAACUUCUGGUGUCAACAAUCAGCAACCAACAAGCAGUUAGAUGGUUUAAGGCUAAACAUUGUCAAUCUAGGGACAUACAUUGCUUUUCUUUUCGAACUGCAGCUUCACAAAUUGAGAGCAGGUGCACAUCUCCAUCAACCAUUUGGUUAGCAUCCUCAACUUCUGGGGGAACCAGAAAUGGGUCGGGAUUAAACGGCAUAACCAGAUCUAUAUCCUAUUGUUCGCGACAUCAUUCCCUGUACAUCGCACGGUUUCUCGAAAAAAACAUAAGAGUACAACCCAUUUUUCAAACCGUCGCUUCGCAAAUUCAGAGCAAGCAAACAUCACCAUCAACCAUCAAGCUCCCCCAAGGUGCAUCUUGUCGACCCGCCUAGAACCGCUGCUUCACAAAUUCAGAGCAAGCAAACGUUGGUACUAAGAAAAAGGAACAUAAGAGUGCAACCCAUUUUUCGAACCGCUGCUUCACAAAUUCAGAGCAAGCAAACCAUCAAGCUCCUCCGAGGUGCAUCUUGUCGACCCGCCUAGAACCCUAACGUGGGCAGGAAGCAGAGAUCUAGGGGAUCUGGUAUCUCCCAUGCUUUGGAAGGUGUGCCUGGUGAUGGGUACAUCUCGCUAUCCUGAUAUGUGCUGUGACCACAGGAGCAAUUCAGCGCAGGCGAGGUGACACCACUAGCUAAGGACACACAACCAACAAUGAGGAGGCUAAGGUAAGCCCAGCCAAACAGCAUGUGUCAACAGCGGUUGAUGUGUCCGCUAACCAAUCUGUGCCUCUUUCUUAGUACCCAAGGCAUAAUUGCACAGCGAUGAAAAGCAUGGCAGAGGAAAGUUAGGAGCCCCUGCAGUGCAGCUUACUUAGCUGUGGCUGUGAGGCUGUGGUUGUGCAUGCUCCCAAAGGACAUGACACCUGCUGUGCAUGCAUGCCCCUUGAGCAGCAUUACCAGUGCAUGCGUGCAUGCAUGCAUGGAUGGUUGGGUAUAUGGGCCCACACCGCACCCAAAUGAAAUGAAACCCUCCCUGCUGAUCUAUAGUUAACACUAUGCACAUGGAUCACGGUAAUCUCAUUGCGUUGUGAUGAUCUGUUGAACCCUGCAGCAAAGCGCCCCCGAAGACCGACUGACCGACGGCUUGUUUGGAACACAUUUUGCAGGUUUUCCCAUGAGUUCAGCGAAAACGGUUCUUACCGUGUAUGAUUCGCCUACGCCGGGCCUGAAAGCCAAUGGAAAAGGUUUUGAAAGUACGAGAAAUUCAACAAAGAGCGAAAGGAAAACCGGUAGAGAGGGCGGGGACCGACUCAGGCUCCGUUCGGUUUGUGGGCAGAGAAAACGAAGGAAUAAAUAACUACACAGGAAUAGACUUGAUUGUACAGAGCAAACCUAGGGAGCCUUUUGGCCUGUUCGGUUUGUAGGAAUAUAGGACCUAGAGCACGAUGCAGGGAAGGCCGUUCACAGUGUUGACUAGAUUUCUUUAUUGUCUUGAGAAGUGAUGACCACUCGUGAACCCCCAUGCAGCUAGAUUGUUUAUUCAGCUGGACAGCCCUAGAGCCAGAGGUUAGCCUUGGGCCUCCCGAGAACAUGAGGUUCUGGUGGAUUUUAGUUUUCCCGUGAAAAGUACAGGUUGGCAUGUCUUUCCGAUGGAACGGGCGACUGAGAAUCCUCCAAAACGAACACACUGUUGGUUGAAAUUCCUGCGGAAACCAAACCUGCAAAAGUUCCUCCGAAAAUCCUGUAUACCGAACGGAGCCUCAAGCUUGUCUCCAAAACCAUUCUCCCAGGCCCCCUGUUUGAUGAUCCAGGCCCCCCAAUCUGACCGCCAACUUGGAAGAUGUGUGUUUGUGGGCGAUACAUACACCUGCGCAGCGCAAGUUGGGGAUCAUGGCAAAAGAAGAAAUCCCGGCCCCCUUCUCCAACCAUACCAUACCAUACCAUACAUACACCAGACCAUAUAUGAGAUGAGAUUGAGACGAGAUGAGAUGGGAUUCAAGGGGGUAAAAAGGUUUGUGCGCCUUUGUGAGUGAAGUGGCAUGGCACAUUGCAAUCUGACAAGCAAGAUCGCAGCGUGCUGGUGGUUAGUUAGUUAGUCAGUGGCCUGCAUGCUUGAAUCCUGGCUAGCUGCUGGUUUUGCACCUAACAUAUACUGCCAUCCCUUCCCAAGUGGUUUCUCCCUUUUACUUACCCCUCCCCUCACUUUUCCCUUCUUUUCUCGGUUGGAUGUAGGGCAUGCCUCUACGUCAAAGGUACUUGUAACAGCGUACCCACUAAGUUUGUGGCUUCAUCGUGUACAGCUAAAAUACACCAAUCUUAAAUAACUGGAUAUUAAAUCGAAUACGAUGUGCAACACUAUAGAGCAACUCUAUUCCAGCAAGCACCGCGGAAUUAAUUAGAUUCAUUACCAGCUGGUCAAAGCAUAACCAAGUUUCAGAUUAUAUAGAACUGGGCUGGCAGGACAGCUUAAGUAGAGUACAACCUUUAAAAAUGCAAAUAAGACACAACUAUGAACAAUAAAUCGCUAUUUAUGGAGAUCAAGAGUAUGGCUAGGGUGGUAUAUGACAAACCGCCCUGCAUCUGAGCUUGUUGAUUCCUUAAUUAUUAUUUCCGGUCGGGAACAUAAAACCGGCCUCUCAUUUUCAGCAUAUCUAAACUCCCAAGGCAUCGCAUAUCUUCGAUAGGCAGUGCGUGCCUGUACCAAACAUAAAGCAUGGCUUGGAACACCACAAGCAUUGCAUUUCUCUGGACCAUUCAUCUUAUCUGGUGUAUGUGGGGGUCUUCCUUUCUUGCUUUCUCUAGGGCCAGCGUACAAUUUUCUUAAACAUUGCCAUGUUAGGUUCCCGUCAGGAACCAUACAAGGUAUGGAAAGGAAAGGGCAAAGGAAAAGAAAAAAAGGAAACUUGCAAGGUUUGUGUUCUUCCUCUUUUGAUUUUGAGUUUAUCCAAACUUGUAUGCACGUUUUCGAAACCAGAUGCAUGUGUCCUCUUGCAGUUGCAUAGAAUGAAAUCAGCAAAUAAUUAGCCCUUCGUAAUCCCUACAGGAGGCCCCAGCCAGCAGGUAAGAAGGCAAAUGAAAACCAGAGUUCAAACAGCGAUGCCUGCAGCUUUUAUGCUUUUAAACCUUAUGUUAUGCGUACGAAUGUACAGUCGUUGCUUGAUAUCGGUAAUUUGACACAGUGACCUCUCUGCCUUGCACUCCUAACUGUGCAUGUUCCAACCAGCCCCCUACUCCCCAAAUCCAAACCGAUCAUCAAAUCUUUUUCUCUAGUUGGUGAGGCUGUGGGGGCGGUGAUUGUUUCACUGUGAACAACCUCUUGUUGUGGUCACACGUUGGCCAUUAAGACAAGUGGGGCACACAGUGCAGGAGUGGUGGUAAGUGGUCACAGCAAAGGGGCUCAAAAUGUGGCAGUGGUCUCAUGAUCUUUUGGCAAUGGCUCCCAGUGAGGAUACCAAGUUUCAGGCUAUAAACUGUAGCUCCACCAAGUGGUGCAGGUAAUUCUGGGUGCUAGAGGAUAGGACGUGCUCAGAAAAGUCUAUUAUGUGGGUGGCCAGUCUUUUGUUUGUUUGGCUUCAAUUUGAAAUGGAUUUCGGCUUUCAACCGAGUCACAUGAAGUUUCUCUAAAUGUAAAUGUAAUCCAUGUUUCUACCAAGUUCGUGAGUGACCAGCCAAACAAUUAGAAGAAAUGGUAGACGGUUUUAUCAGUAAAAGAAUGAUAGUGGAUAAUGAAGGGAGCAAUUGGGGCUCCAUUUCAUUCUAGUAUUUCAUUGUAACAGAAGUGGCAGUGGGUUGCAUCCCUUAUACCUCUUGUUUUCCUGGACUGGGCUCAGUGGCAGCUUUACGUUUACCGCGCUUCCUGUUAUAUGUUAUUUUGCAAGAAUCUAGUAUGCAGCGCACAUGAGGAUCUUCCUUUGGUAUUGUUUUGUACAACUUCUUUGCUGCCGACCUCUGGGCAGACGAAACAAGAGCCUGGUACAUCCUGCAUACAAAAAUGUCAUGUUUGAAAUGGAUAUCCCACGAGAAGAAAUCGGACAAGGUGUCAAAGCGAGCACACUGAUCAUGAUAUCACAUUGCCUAAAUGGAGCUUGCCCAACUCCCUGAGGAAAAUCAAGCCACCAUUCUACAGUAUAAUGAAUUCUCAACUUAUGUCCCUCCCAGGUAAAGAAACCAACCUCAAGGAAGUCAACACGUUGUGUGGAAGGCCAGAGGAUUCAUAUUCUUCCCAGAUCUGCUGGGCACGUUGUGAAUCCUUUGCCUUUACACAUGCGCUGAGAAGAAAAUCAAGGCUUGUCCGAGAAACAUUUAGCCCGAGCUCUUUGACAGCACGGAGAAGCUCCAUUCCAAGAUCCAAAUUUACAGGCUCCAUUUCCCAUAUUUGGCAGAAGACCUUCAGAUCAGUUCAUACAAGUAAACAAAAAGUAAAGUUAAAACGAAAGAUAUAUCUCAAAAGGUUUUGGUUCAUGAAGAAAAAGGUUUUUCAAAACAAUUACAGCCUUUAUUCACACGCAUUUCUACCAGCAACAAAUACAGUUCAGCAAUUUAAUAGAUAAUUAAAUCAAGGUUUGGUUAUUCAAAAUGUCACGCUAGUUAGUCUGAAAUGAAUCUCUGAACUAAGCAGCAGAAAAUAAACAAGUGAGAUGACAUCAAACAUUAAGCCCUACAGGAAAAAAAACAUAAUCCAAUAGGAAAAAGUGAGUAAUAACAUAAAAAUCAAACACAUAUCCGGCAACAUAACAAAAGGUUCCAUUUUCAACACAUAUAGAACAAAAGAUAUGCAAUGGAAAAACAUAGGUCAACGCUGCUCAACCAAAUAAAACGAUUCUACUAUUGAAUACAAUCCCUAGUAAAAGUGUAAUGGGUUAAACAAGAUAGAAAAGUUGCAAAGCAAUGAACAACUAUUGCAUCUGGAAGCCGUAAUCUAUGGAGAUCCCCUAGAUCAACUAUUAUCAUGCAAAAACUCUUCAGUAAUUAAAGAUGGUGUGUACAAUUCCAAAAGAGGUCACUUCAAUUAUAAGAUGAAAUAUACACACUUUUGAACAAACUAAGGGAAAUCAGAAGAUCAUCAGGUGCCCCUUUAAGAAAGGUCGGAUAAAUACCUGAUCAACAAUCAUGUAUGUACUCAUUUCAUUUGUCUCCUUCAGUUGCUUAAGUAAAUCAACAGCGGCACUGGCAAAUGUAUCAAAUAAAUAGUAAGUGAAUUUAUUUUUGCGGAGAUAGUGAGUAGAAAGUUAACUAAAUAGCAGUAGAAAUUCGGUUGCUUAAAUAGGAGCAUCAAUUAGCAUACUCAGGGUGAUUGUGCUGAACACAGUAUUGAAGCACUCUGCCGCACCCAUCAAACCACAUGCCUGGCUCGCUCACCUCCUCCAGAAGUUGAUACAGUCUAUCUAGCUGGUCUUCUGUUUGAGUAUGCUCCUGCAGAAGCAAAUACGAUACUAUAAGCAAUGGAAAUGAGAGCAAAAGAGAAUGGAAGCAUGCAGGCACCACUCAUCUCAAGUUUUGACAGGGAAGGUGUCACAGAUUUACUUACAAUCAGGGCUAUUGCAGCCUUUGGUUCAAGGUAGCCUCCGGAUUGCUUGAUUUCGUCAAACAACUCAAGUCCAUCUGAUACCUUCCCAUUCGAUGCAAGCGCUCCUACAAGCGCGCUUCUUACUUCACUGAGGCACUUAGGUGGUAUUUCCUUAUCCAGGGCAACCUAAUGAAACAAGAAUGGUUGUAAGCACAUCGAACAAAAUAUUUUCCUUAGUUGCUUACAUUAGAAUUUAGCAGUAAAUAACCAUUAACAUGUACUCCCUCCGUCCGAAAAUACUUGUCCAAGGAAUGGAUGUAUCUAGACAUAUCUUAGUUUUAGAUACAUCCAUUUUUAUUCAUUUCUCCGACAAGUAUUUUGGGACGGAGGGAGUAUCUAACUAAGAGAUGCAGUGUAUCAUGUGCGAGAAGAAUUGGAAUGUGGAAGACUGAAGGUGCAGAAAAAUGGGUGGAAAUUCUAAUCAUAAUCAGCGAUCAUAAUUUACCUGUUUGGCCAUGUCAAAAUUCCCAAGUCUUGAAUAUGCAUUAAUUAGUGCCAUAUAUGCAUGCUUGGUCAUUUGAACUCCAUCUCGCCUUAGUUCAUCCAGGUACUAUCAACAAUUCAAUAACCAGAAAUUAUGUCAGCGGGAACCAUGAAUAGCAAUGGAUUUGUACCAUCGAAACUUGAAGGAACAUUAUAGGUCAUAGAGCGGGAUCCGAACGCUGUGUGAUGAGGAAUUUAUCGAUGUGGUAUAAUGUAGGUGAUGUCACCAGGAACGAAUGGGUAAUCAAAGGAGGUGGAAAUUGACAGUACGCGCAUGGAGCAGUAGAACUUCUAUUUGAACCAGGAUACAGGAACAGUGCCAACAGCAAAUGAUCAGGUACAUGCAAACCUUUGAUAUUUUCUCCUCACAAUCACAGUUUGAGAUCAAAUAACUGAAUGUUUCAGAGUCUGGUUUUACUCCAGCAAUCUGCAUUUGCGACAUGACCAUUUGUGCUCCAUUGUGAUUUUUCUGCAGAACAAUAUACCAAGUUAGAAGUUAUGGGGAAAAUGUUGUGAAGGCAUAAACAUGUUGAAAUGGAGAGUGUACAUUAUACGCUACAGAAUGUCAUGUUACAUUAGUAGACUUUGCAACUUUAUGCAUCUUUGUGUACUUGAGUGGCGGCUUUGCCAUACGGUACACAAACAACUCCAGUAUGGGACAUCUCAUAUGCGUUAUGUAUUGUAUUUGUACUAGCUAAGCAGGUUGAAGAAGUAUGAUGACGAUAAUCAACAGUGGGUCACUGUCAGCGUCAGGCAUGUGAGAUAAACAAAAUGAAGGAAUGGCAAACAGGAAUUUUUACCUCUCUAAAAUAUCCAGCUAUAAAAACAUUAUAGAGACUUAUGGGUCAAUGUCAGCAAUAGGUAUGUGAGAACAAAAUGAAGGCAUGGCAAACAGGAAUUCACCUCUCUAAAAUAUCCAGCCAUAAUAACAUUAUACAGGCUUACGGUGGACGUCUCCCCAGAUUCUUCUGCAUCUGUGAGUAUAGUGUAAGCACCUUCAAACUGGAAGGAGAAAAGAUCAAUGAACAACAGUGUCAUACUAUAACUGAUGUCUAGGAAUAGCAGGUGAUCCCCAUCCUGACUUACAUCUUUCAUUUUUACACAUAAACUUAUCAUGCUCCUGAAAGUUUCGGGUUUCAAUUUCAACUUGUAGAGACUCAUCAAAUUAUAUAACGGACGAGCCUGCAAAAUAAGCACCGAUGUCACUUGACAAUAACUAAAUAAUGGUUAAAAUAGAUAAUGCUACCAGUCAGGCAGACACUCAGUCAGACUACCAACAGUUGAUCAUCCAUGGUUGAACAAUGUUCCUGAUAAUAAAUUUAUGCCUCAACAUCUUGAACAAAUGUGGCACAACAGUUGAUUAAGAGCUUUAGCUAGUCAUCCUACAACAAUGGUAAGGGAGGAACAGUAUGUUAAUAGGUUCACUGUGUUUAUACUAGAAAAUUGUUGUUCUAAUAGCUGUAUAUGCUUGUUAUUACAAGUAUAUGCAGUCAUGUACAACAGAGCAGUGCACUUAAAAAUGGUAAAUUCAUGUAACCUAUAAGACAUACCCUGGUACUUAAUUUGAACACAAGGAACACACUCCAGCAUGCCACACCUACAUAUAGAACGACUUACCAUGUGAAGCUCGUAGCCUUGCUCACAGGCAUUUAUUAUUGGAUUGAGCAAUUCAAUCGGCACACUGGGAUUGGAUUUACAAAGGCACUCAGCCACAUCAAGAGCUAAGCUGAUCUGUAAACAAAAUACGCAAACAGCUUAGUUACAAAGAUUGCAUUGACAAAUCAAGAAUCACAAAAUCUAAAUGCUAAGCAUUAAGACUAAAAUCUCUCCAUAAGCAUAGCAUAUGCAAUAUCAAGUGGCACAAGUAGUAAGGUCCCAAUGUUGCUUAGUGCAUGCAUCAGUUAUACAACACUUCAUGUCUACCUACUUAAGAAAAUGUUUUCUGAAGUCGACAGAAGCACCAAACAUUGCCUAAGGAGACAGCGGCACAAACUUAAAUAGAUCAACAUGCUUAUAUCUACCCUAAAUAUAAACGUUGCAAUAGGCACCCACUCUCUAUCUAAUAAAAAUGGGUAUGUUUAGAUCUAAGUUGGCCAAGAUUUUCUUAUGCCUAAGUCGAUGGUGCUAGUGGUGUGAUAAAAUAUUUUCCCUCAUCUAGCGUGAAUCUUAAUGUAAAGUCAUCCGACGGCUCAGUACAGUCUACUUAGGAGCAGUUUUUUUGGGCGGCUUGAAAAAUAAGCUGCCUCUCCCCAGCUUAAAAAAUAAGCCGCUCCCUAAAUUUGUUGAUGCUUCUAAAUUAGUUAUCCCAUAACUAGUUCAGAAGCUGUAAUGAAUCACAGAGGUGGCUUGUGGGAAAAGCUGGAUAGGAGGCGGCUUAUUUAUUAAGCCGCCAAAAGAACUGGCCCUUAGACAUAAGAAAAAUCACAAACGACUUUUAACAAAACCAAAAAAUUGUUAUUUCUAGUACCACAGAUUUGUUGAUACAUCACCGAGCCGGUCAGACGGACACAUGAUGCUUGCCUAAUUUGGUUUGGUAUCCAAACCCAGCAUGUACGAAGCAAUUGAGCUUGUUGAUUGAUGACAUUGGCUAUGAAAUCACCACAUGCAGUACGGGUUGGAUUGCUCUCUGGCCAUACAAAUCGACUUGCUUCGGAUUUACAGAUGUAGUUUGAAUUUCAGUCAUCAUAAUUUAUAUCCUCAAUAUAAUUAACAGAGCGGAUUAUUUAGACUAUGUGGACAAGCAUGGUGGCUGGUUUGCCUCUUAUAUUAACAAUAUAAUAGAUUUAUAAUAGAGCAGUGAGUGAUUUUUGCCAAUACCUUCGAUGAACUGCAGCAAAAGGAGAUGAUCCUGUCAUAUACACCAACAGAAGGUGCUACCUUAAACUUCUCUUGCCAUUUAUUAAACGCUGAUAUAACAUCUUCAACCUUCAUGAAAAUACAUUACCAACAGAUGUUAUAUCGAUGAAGCUUAGCUGAAAUGGCUUUGUUAACAUGAUAAGUAGCUGCAUUCGCUCAGGUAGUAAUGUUUUCCAGCUUAUAUUAGGAAAAUGGGGCAGCCAAAGGAAUUUUGCAAUAAAUAGUAAUCUGAUAAGCAAUCAUUUCUGGUAAAAAAAUGAUAACCAGUCAUGACCGACAUGGUAUAUAGAUAAAAGAUAAAUAAACAUGUGAUUGCUUCCAUGAUAUCAAACACCGUGUCAAUAACAAGGAUCGUUAAAAAAAUAUGGUUCUGAUAGCGAUGCCGAUUGAAAAUUGAUUCAUCUUUCCUACUAAAAAUAAGUUUAGUUGACUGAUCUUUUGAAUUACACAAAAAUAUGUAUACUACAAAGAGUAAUUACACCCAAUGCUCUGCACUUCUGCAGGCAUGUAGCGUGCAUCAUGGAAGUACAGCCUACUCCACUACAUAUAAUUAAAAAGGAAUUUCUAUUUUGCCACUCCGAAGAAUAGCAUUUGGGUGUUUCGCUACUCAUGUUCUUUGGGGCAGUGAAUCCCUAAUAAAUCCAUGAUAAAAAAAGGUAGCAGCAAUACCAUAUGUGCUUUCUUGAGUUAUGAAGUUAUGAUUUUGUAGUAAAUUAGUGAUUAUUGUAAUGUCAUAAGUUGCAUAAGUAUUAUGUACAGAUACUGCAGGGGGGUUUGUUUUAUUUAGUAAUUAUUGCAAUGUCAUAAGUUGCACAAGUAUUAUGUAAAUAUAUUUAGCACAACGUUGAAGAAUACUAGGCAAACAGUCCAUCGUAUAUUAGAAGCUAUAUGUAUUACCAGCAGUUACCAUAAAUAAUAACUCACCUCUAUACUCGGUAUAUUUGCAGCAUAGUCAAAAAUUAAGGAUGAAACUUUUACAUCGGAGUAUUCUGAAACAGAAAAUAAACAAAAUUAACAGAUAAAAGAUGAGCAUAGUGCAGAAACAGAAACUAGAAAAUGUACUGUAUCCUUCAACUAUGAAGAAACUAUUACAAUGCAAAGAUUUUUCAAUAAAAUUAGUUGAAUGUUCAUCUUAUAGCCAUCAAAAUACUUUGAUUAGAUUUGGAAAUAUGUGCAUAACUUUAUCACCUUUUGACGUCAUCUUCUGAAGAAGUUUCUCAGCAUGGUUCUCCAGUUUGAGCCUACCCAUAUACUUGAAUAUACUGGAUAUGUACUUCGACCCUAAAACUUUUGUUGGGUCAAGUAAUUCCAAGAACGUGACAAAAUCCAUCUUUCUGUUGCUUUCAGCAAAGGCCAGCAUAUAGCUUUCUGUAAAACAAUGCAUUGAUUAAGGUACUAUAGGGAAUAUGGUAUGUAAGUUUACAAACUGUGUAAGAUGCAUAUACCCAAAUAGAAGGUUUUGACUGUGAUUUUGGGCCAUUACCUGCUAUGCAAUAAUCAGCUUCAUCACUGCAGUCUUCAACAGAGCGACAAAGUUCUCGAAUGCUUUCUUCAUCUUGAGCUCGAAUCAAGAGCAACAUCUCGUAAUAAGGUAUCCUGGAGCAGGACCGUGGAUUCCCAUCCCUAAAAAAUGCACUGAACAUCUCAAAUUCCUCCAACAACUCCACAUCCACCAGGUACAAGAGAAAUGGCCCGUAACUGUCUUCCUCGAUCUGAAACCCCCUAUCUUUCAUCAUCUCAAAAAGCCGAUAUGCCCGAAAAAUAUGUUCCACUGCUGAGUCAACGUCCCCGCAGGCCCUUGCCUUUUCCAAGCAAACCCUAAUCAAUGCAUUGAACUCCUUGGGACCGGUAUCCCUCCCCAGCCUCCCGAAGAACUCGAGCGCAGACUCGGUGCCAAGCUUGUCGGCGCACAUCCGCAUCAGCCUCGUGAAGCGGCGGCUCUCCGUGUUCUUGAAGAUGUAGCGCUUCUUCUUCUCCCUCGCCACCUCCUUCCGCAAGUGCAUCAUCAUGCUACUCGGCUGCGACCCUGCAAACCACUCCAUGUCCAGUAUCUUGUUGCCGAUGGCGUCCACGUCGUCGUCGGACUCCUCUGGCAGCGCCUCCGUGGCCCCGGACUCUUCCGCUUCAUCAGGACCUGAACAUUAAUAAUCAGAUAAAUCAGGGCCUGAACAUUAAUAAUCAGAUAAUCGCAGUUGCAGAUACAGUUCCACAGAUAUUGAAAGAGCAGCAUUUGGGGGGGUUGGGUGUGGUGACAGUUGAAGCAGAGACUGCAUAAGAAUACCGUUCAAUAUGGACAGGAUCUCCUUGGUGAAGUCACGGGAGUUGUCCUCCUCCUCCCCAUCUGAGCAAGAGAGGGGAGACGGGUGAGUAGGGAGCAAAUGGCGAGCGAGAGUGGGGGUGGAGUCGGUUACCGUUGGCGAGGGCGUGGGGGAGGGAGGAGGGCAAGGCGGUCUUCUUGGAGGCGGCGGCCUGCUUGAGGCGGAGGAGGGAGGCGGGGGAGACCGCGGUGGCCGGGGAGACGGCGGGGCUGCGGCUGGUGGAGGGGCGCUUCCGGGUUGCGAGCUCGGGCGCGGCGGCGGCCACCUUCUUGGUCGUCUCCAGGAGGCGCUUCCACAUCGGUGGCGCGUGGCCGAGGGCGGCGGGCGGAGCAGCCGCCGCAGCCGCCGCCAGUAGGUCGCAGCGCGGCGGAGGCGCGCCGGCGCGACGAGCGUGCGCGUGCGAACCAGGCGGCGUUUUCGCGGGUCGGUGUUGCGGUUGGACCGGGCCCAAACCCACCUUAAACACACCACGGAAUAAUAGGGCCCGAGUCCUCUCAAGAGAGAAAAAAAAAUGAGUUCCUCAAAAGAAGAGUAAAAAACAGAAUCUGUGUACAAUUUUCUUUUUCUUCAAAAAGGAUCUGGAUCUGUUAUAAAUUUUAUCGGAAAUACCAAACACCUCAAACAAAAUAAAAACUACAUCGAGGUAGCUGGAUCGAUGAAAGACCACUUCCACCACUGAAACGAGUCGCCGACAUGAUGUUGUCACCACUCUUCUAUUAGAGUUGGCUUGACCUUGUCAAUGAUAACCCAAAAGCCUUCAUGCAUGUGCCCCUAAGAACCAGUGCCCUCGAGCCGCAAUCAUCAUCGUUGAAUCCUUGAAUAGACCUAAAGCAUCUGACAUCAAAUCUCGUCAUCGCAUAUGCACUACGAGAAAGUCUAACCUCGUCGCCCUAUGAGAACCACCUACUCAUGUGUUGAGAUCAAGAGAUUCCAUUCGUACCAUUUGAACCUUGAUCUCUAGCCUCUUCAAGUUGCUUCCCAUUCCAAUCCUUCUCCUACCCAAGCCAAAUAUAUGAGAGAGAGAUUGAGUGUUGAGGAGACUAUCAUUUGAAGCACAAGAGCAAGGAGUUCAUCAAUAACACACCAUCUAUUAUCUUUUGGAGAGUGAUGUCUCCUAGUUUGGUUAGGUGUCAUUUGGGAGUCUUCAAGAUCAUCUGGAGUUGAACCAAGAAAUUUGUAAGGGCAAGGAAAUCACGUACUCUGUGAAGAUCUACCAGAUUGAGGCUAGCCCUUCGUGGACGAAAACCAUGGUGGAAUAGACAAGGUUGUUUUUUCGUGGACCCUUCGUGGGUGGUGUUGGAAAUAUGCCCUAGAGGCAAUAAUUAAAUGAUUAUUAUUAUAUUUCCUUGUUCAUGAUAAUUGUCUAUUAUUCAUGCUAUAAUUGUGUUAUCCGGAAAUCGUAAUACAUGUAUGAAUACAUAGACCACAACAUGUCCCUAGUAAGCCUCUAGUUGACUAGCUCGUUGAUCAAUAGAUAGUCAUGGUUUCCUGACUAUGGACAUUGGAUGUCAUUGAUAACGGGAUCACAUCAUUAGGAGAAUGAUGUGAUGGACAAGACCCAAUCCUAAGCAUAGCACAAGAUCGUGUAGUUCGUUUGCUAGAGCUUUUCCAAUGUCAAGUAUCUUUUCCUUAGACCAUGAGAUCGUGUAACUCCCGGAUACCGUAGGAGUGCUUUGGAUGUACCAAACGUCACAACGUAACUGGGUGACUAUAAAGGUAUACUAUGGGUAUCCCCAAAAGUAUUUGUUGGGUUAACACGGAUCGAGACUGGGAUUUAUCACUCCGUAUGACGGAGAGGUAUCUCUGGGCCCACUCAGUAAUGCAUCAUCAUAAUGAGCUCAAUGUGACCAAGUGUUUGGUCAGGGGAUCAUGCAUUACGGUAUGAGUAAAGUGACUUGCCGGUAACGAGAUUGAACGAGGUAUUGGGAUACCGACGAUCGAAUCUCGGGCAAGUAACGUACCGAUUAACAAAGGGAAUUGUAUACAGGGUUACUUGAAUCCUCGACAUCGUGGUUCAUCCGAUGAGAUCAUCGAGGAGCAUGUGGGAGCCAACAUGGGUAUCCAGAUCCCGUUGUUGGUUAUUGAACGGAGAGUCGUCUCGGUCAUGUCUGCAUGUCUCCCGAACCCGUAGGGUCUAUACACUUAAGGUUCGGUGACGCUAGGGUUGUAGAGAUAUUAGUAUGCAGUAACCAGAAAGUUGUUCGGAGUCCCGGAUGAGAUCCCGGACGUCACGAGGAGUUCCGGAAUGGUUCGGAGGUGAAGAAUUAUAUAUAGAAAGUCAAGUUUCGGCCAUCGGGAAAGUUUCGGGGGUCACCGAUAUUGUACCGGGACCACGGAAGGGUCCCGGGGGUCCACCGGGUGGGGCCACCUAUCCCAGAGGGCCCCAUGGGAUGAAGUGGGAGGGGAACCAGCCCCUGGUGGGCUGGUGCGCCCCCCCCUUGGCCCCCCUGUGCCUAGGGUUGGAAACCCUAGGGGUGGGGGCGCCUCCACUUGGCUUGGGGGGCAAGCCACCCCCUUGGCCGCCGCCCCCUUGGAGAUUGGAUCUCCUAGGGCCGGCGCCCCCCCCCUAGGGGCCCUAUAUAAAGAGAGGGGAGGAAGGGCUGCGCACCCAUGCUCCUGGCGCCUCCCUCUCCCUCUGCUACACCUCUCCCUCUCGUAGAGCUUGGCGAAGCCCUGCCGAGAUCGCUGUUGCAUCCACCACCACGCCGUCGUGCUGCUGGAUCUCCAUCAACCUCUCCUUUCCCCUUGCUGGAUCAAGAAGGAGGAGACGUCUUCCCCAACCGUACGUGUGUUGAACGCGGAGGUGUUGUCCGAUCAGCACUAGGAUCAUCGGUGAUUUGGAUCACGACGAGUACGACUCCCUCAACCUCGUUCUCUUGAACGCUUCCGCUCACGAUCUACAAGGGUAUGUAGAUGCACUCCUCUCUCUCGUUGCUAGAUGAACUCCAUAGAUUGAUCUUGGUGAAGCGUACAAAUAUUUUAUUUUCUGCAACGUUCCCCAACAGUGGCAUCAUGAGCUUGGUCUAUGCGUAGUUUCUUUGCACGAGUAGAACACAAAUUUGUUGUGGGCGUAGAUGUUGUCAAUUUUCUUGCCACUACUAGUCUUAUUUUGCUUCGGAGGCAUCGUGGGAUGAAGCGGCCCGGACCGACCUUACACGUACGCUUAUGUGAGACAGGUUCCACCGACUGACAUGCACUAGUUGCAUAAGGUGGCUAGCGGGUGUCUGUCUCUCCCACUUUAGUUGGAGCGGAUUCGAUGAAAAGGGUCCUUAUGAAGGGUAAAUAGAAAUUUGCAUAUCACAUUGUGGCUUUCACGUAGGUAAGAAAACAUUCUUGCUAGAACCCUAUUGCAGCCACGUAAAACAUGCAACAACAAUUAGAGGACGUCUAACUUGUUUUUGGAGCAUAUGCCUUGUGAUGUGAUAUGGCCAAAAGUUGUGAUGAAUGAUAUAUAUGUGAUGUAUGAGAUCAUGUUCUUGUAAUAGGAAUCACGACUUUCAUGUCGCUGAGUAUGACAACCGACAGGAGCCAUAGGAGUUGUCUUAAUUAUUGUAUGACAUGUGUGUCAAUGAUUAAACACCAUGUAAUUACUUUACUUUAUUGCUAAACCGUUAGCCAUAGUAGUAGAAGUAAUAAUUGGCGAGCAACUUCAUGGAGACACGAUGAUGGAGAUCAUGAUGAUGGAGAUCAUGGUGUCAUGCCGGUGACGAAGAUGAUCAUGGCGCCCCGAAGAUGGAGAUCAAAGGAGCUAUAUGAUAUUGGCCAUAUCAUGACACUAUUUGAUUGCAUGUGAUGUUUAUCAUGUUUUUGCAUCUUAUUUGCUUAGAACGACGGUAGUGAAUAAGAUGAUCCCUCAUAAUAAUUUCAAGAAAGUGUUCCCCCUAAUUGUGCGUCGUUGCGAAAGUUCGUUGUUUCGAAGCACCACGUGAUGAUCGGGUGUGAUAGAUUCCAACGUCCACAUACAACGGGUGUAAAACAGAUUUACACAUGCAAAACACUUAGGUUAACUUGACGAGCCUAGCAUGUACAGGCAUGGCCUCGGAACACAAGAGACCGAAAGGUCGAACAUGAGUCGUAUGGAAGAUACGAUCAACAUGGAGAUGUUCACCGAUGAUGACUAGUCCGUCUCACGUGAUGAUCGGACACGGCCUAGUUGACUCGGAUCAUGUAUCACUUAGAUGACUAGAGGGAUGUCUAAUCUGAGUGGGAGUUCAUUAAAUAAUUUGAUUAGAUGAACUUAAUUAUCAUGAACUUAGUCUAAAAACCUUUGCAAAAAUGUCUUGUAGAUCAAAUGGCCAACGCUCAUGUCAACCUCAACUUCAACGCGUUCCUAGAGAAAACCAAGCUGAAAGAUGAUGGCAGCAACUAUUCGGACUGGGUCCAGAACCUGAGGAUCAUCCUCAUAGCUGCCAAGAAAGCAUAUGUCCUAGAAGGACCGCUAGGUGAAGCACCCAUCCCAGAGAACCAAGACGUUAUGAACGCUUGGCAGUCACGUGCUGAUGAUUACUCCCUUGUUCAGUGCGGCAUGCUUUACAGCUUAGAACCGGGGCUCCAAAAGUGUUUUGAGCAACACGGAGCAUAUGAGAUGUUCGAGGAGCUGAAAAUGGUUUUCGAAGCUCAUGCCCGGGUCGAGAGAUAUGAAGUCUCCGACAAGUUUUAUAGUUGUAAGAUGGAGGAAAAUAGUUCUGUCAGUGAGCACAUACUCAAAAUGUCUGGGUUGCACAACCGCUUGUCCCAGCUGGACAUUAACCUCCCGGAUGAGGCGGUCAUUGACAGAAUCCUUCGGUCGCUCCCACCUAGCUACUAGAGCUUUGUGAUGAACUACAAUAUGCAGGGGAUGGUGAAAACUAUUCCUGAAGUAUUUUCAAUGCUGAAGUCAGCGGAGGUGGAAAUCAAAAAGGAGCAUCAAGUGUUGAUGGUCAAUAAAACCACUAGUUUCAAGAAAGGCAAGGGUAAGAAGAACUUCAAGAAGGACGGCAAGGGAGUUGCCGCGCCCGGUAAGCCAGUUACCGGGAAGAAGCCAAAGAAUGGACCCAAGCCUGAGACUGAGUGCUUUUAUUGCAAAGGGAAGGGUCACUGGAAGCGGAACUGCCCCAAAUACUUAGCGGACAAGAAGGCCGGCAACACUAAAGGUAUAUGUGAUAUACAUGUAAUUGAUGUGUACCUUACCAGUACUCGUAGUAGCUCCUGGGUAUUUGAUACCGGUGCGGUUGCUCAUAUUUGUAACUCAAAGCAGGAGAUGCGGAAUAAGCGGAGACUGGCGAAGGACGAGGUGACGAUGCGCGUCGGGAAUGGUUCCAAGGUCGAUGUGAUCGCCGUCGGCACGCUACCUCUAUAUUUACCUACGGGAUUAGUUUUAAACCUCAAUAGUUGUUAUUUAGUGCCAGCUUUGAGCAUGAACAUUGUAUCUGGAUCUCGUUUAAUACGAGAUGGCUACUCAUUUAAAUCCGAGAAUAAUGGUUGUUCUAUUUAUAUGAGAGAUAUGUUUUAUGGUCAUGUCCUGCUGGUCAAUGGUUUAUUCUUGAUGAAUCUCAAACGUGAUGUUACACAUAUUCAUAGUGUGAAUACCAAAAGAUGUAAGGUUGAUAACGAUAGUCCCACAUACUUGUGGCACUGCCGCCUUGGUCACAUUGGUGUCAAGCGCAUGAAGAAGCUCCAUGCUGAUGGACUUUUAGAGUCUCUCGAUUAUGAAUCAUUUGACACAUGCGAACCAUGCCUCAUGGGCAAAAUGACCAAGACUCCAUUCUCCGGAACAAUGGAGCGAGCAACCAACUUAUUGGAAAUCAUACAUACUGAUGUGUGCGGUCCAAUGAGCGUUGAGGCUCGCGGAGGCUAUCGUUAUGUUCUCACUCUCACUGAUGACUUAAGUAGAUAUGGGUAUGUCUACUUGAUGAAACACAAGUCUGAGACCUUUGAAAAGUUCAAGGAAUUUCAGAAUGAGGUAGAGAAUCAACGUGACCGAAAAAUAAAGUUCUUACGAUCAGAUCGUGGAGGAGAAUAUUUAAGUCAAGAAUUUGGUACGCACUUAAGGAAAUGUGGAAUCGUUUCACAACUCACGCCGCCUGGAACACCUGAGUGUAACGGUGUGUCCGAACGUCAUAAUCGCACUCUAUUGGAUAUGGUACGAUCCAUGAUGUCUCUUACCGAUUUACCGCUAUCAUUUUGGGGAUAUGCUCUAGAGACAACUACAUUCAUUUUAAAUAGGGCACCGUCUAAAUCCGUUGAGACGACACCGUAUGAAUUAUGGAUUGGGAAGAAACCUAAGCUGUCGUUUCUAAAAGUUUUGGGAUGCGAUGCUUAUGUCAAGAAACUUCUACCUGAAAAGCUCGAACCCAAGUCGGAAAAAUGUGUCUUCAUAGGAUACCCUAAGGAAACCAUUGGGUAUACCUUCUACCUUAGAUCCGAAGGCAAGAUCUUUGUUGCCAAGAAUGGGUCCUUUCUGGAGAAAGAGUUUCUCUCGAAAGAAGUAAGUGGGAGGAAAGUAGAACUCGAUGAAGUACUACCUCUUGAACCAGAAAGUAGUGCAGCUCAGGAAAAUGUUCCUGUUGUGCCUACAUCGACUGGAGAGGAAAUUAAUGAUGAUGAUCAAGGUACUUUGGAUCAAGUUGCUACUGAACUUCGUAGGUCCACAAGGACACGUUCCACACCAGAGUGGUAUGGCAACCCUGUCCUGGAAAUCAUGUUGUUAGACAACGAUGAACCUUCGAACUAUGAAGAAGCAAUGGCGGGCCCAGAUUCCAACAAAUGGCUUGAAGCCAUGCAAUCCGAGAUAGGAUCCAUGUAUGAAAACAAAGUAUGGACUUUUAAAGACUUGCCCGGUGAUCAGCGAGCGAUUGAAAAUAAAUGGAUCUUUAAGAAGAAGACGGACGCGGAUGGUAAUGUUACCAUCUAUAAAGCUCGACUUGUUGCUAAGGGUUAUCGACAAGUUCAAGGGGUUGACUACGAUGAGACUUUCUCUCCCGUAGCGAAGCUGAAGUCCGUCUGAAUCAUGUUAGCAAUUGCCGCAUACUAUGAUUAUGAGAUAUGGCAAAUGGACGUCAAACGGCAUUCCUUAAUGGCUAUCUUAAGGAAGAAUUGUAUAUGAUGCAACUGGAAGGUUUUGUCGAUCCCGAGAAUGCUAAAAAGGUAUGCAAGCUCCAGCGAUCCAUUUAUGGGCUGGUGCAAGCAUCUCGGAGUUGGAACAUUCGCUUUGAUGAGAUGAUCAAAGCGUUUGGGUUUAUGCAGACUUAUGGAGAAGCCUGCGUUUACAAGAAAGUGAGUGGGAGCUCUGUAGCAUUUCUCAUAUUAUAUGUAGAUGACAUACUUUUGAUGGAAAAUGAUAUAGAACUUUUGGACAACAUUAAGGCCUACUUGAAUAAGUGUUUUUCAAUGAAGGACCUUGUAGAAGCUGCUUACAUAUUAGGCAUCAAGAUCUAUAGGGAUAGAUCGAGACGCCUCAUAGGUCUUUCACAAAGCACAUACCUUGAUAAGAUAUUGAAGAAGUUCAAUAUGGAUCAGUCCAAGAAAGGGUUCUUGCUUGUAUUGCAAGGUGUGAGAUUGAUCUCGGCUCAAUGCCCGACCAUGGCAGAAGAUAUAGAAGAGAUGAGUGUCAUCCCCUAUGCCUCAGCCAUAGGGUCUAUUAUGUAUGCCAUGUUGUGUACCAGACCUGAUGUAAACCUUGCCGUAAGUUUGGUAGGAAGGUACCAAAGUAAUCCCGACAAGGAACACUGGACAGCGGUCAAGAAUAUCCUGAAGUACCUGAAGAGGACUAAGGACAUGUUUCUCGUUUAUGGAGGUGACGAAGAGCUCGUCAUAAAGGGUUACGUCGACGCUAGCUUCGACACAGAUCUGGAUGACUCCAAGUCACAAACCGGAUACGUGUAUAUUUUGAAUGGAGGGGUAGUAAGCUGGUGCAGUUGCAAGCAAAGCAUCGUGGCGGGAUCUACAUGUGAAGCGGAGUACAUGGCAGCCUUGGAGGUAGCGCAUGAAGCAAUAUGGAUGAAGGAGUUCAUCACCGACCUAGGAGUCAUACCCAAUGCGUCGGGGCCGAUCUCUCUCUUCUGUGACAACAUUGGAGCUAUUGCCCUUGCUAAGGAGCCCAGGUUUCACAAGAAGGCCAGGCACAUCAAGCGUCGCUUCAACUCCAUUCGUGAAAAUGUUCAAGAUGGAGACAUAGAUAUUUGCAAAGUGCAUACGGAUCUGAAUGUCGCAGAUCCGUUGACUAAACCUCUUCCGCGAGCAAAACAUGAUCAACACUAGAACUCUAUGGGUGUUCGAUUCAUCACAAUGUAACUAAAUUAUUGACUCUAGUGCAAGUGGGAGACUGUUGGAAAUAUGCCCUAGAGGCAAUAAUAAAAUGAUUAUUAUUAUAUUUCCUUGUUCAUGAUAAUUGUCUAUUAUUCAUGCUAUAAUUGUGUUAUCCGGAAAUCGUAAUACAUGUGUGAAUACAUAGAGCACACCAUGUCCCUAGUAAGCCUCUAGUUGACUAGCUCGUUGAUCAAUAGAUAGUCAUGGUUUCCUGACUAUGGACAUUGGAUGUCAUUGAUAACAGGAUCACAUCAUUAGGAGAAUGAUGUGAUGGACAAGACCCAAUCCUAAGCAUAGCACAAGAUCGUGUAGUUCGUUUGCUAGAGCUUUUCCAAUGUCAAGUAUCUUUUCCUUAGACCAUGAGAUCGUGUAACUCCCGUAUACCGUAGGAGUGCUUUGGGUGUACCAAACGUCACAACGUAACUGGGUGACUAUAAAGGUAUACUACGGGUUUCCCCGAAAGUAUCUGUUGGGUUAACACGGAUCGAGACUGGGAUUUGUCACUCCGUAUGACGGAGAGGUAUCUCUGGGCCCACUCAGUAAUGCAUCAUCAUAAUGAGCUCAAUGUGACCAAGUGUUUGGUCACGGGAUCAUGCAUUACGGUACGAGUAAAGUGACUUGCCGGUAACGAGAUUGAACGAGGUAUUGGGAUACUGACGAUCGAAUCUCUGGCAAGUAACGUACCGAUUGACAAAUGGAAUUGUAUACGGGGUUACUUGAAUCCUCGACAUCGUGGUUCAUCCGAUGAGAUCAUCGAGGAGCAUGUGGGAGCCAACAUGGGUAUCCAGAUCCCGCUGUUGGUUAUUGACCGGAGAGUCGUCUCGAUCAUGUCUGUAUGUCUCCCGAACCCGUAGGGUCUACACACUUAAGGUUCGGUGACGCGAGGGUUGUAGAGAUAUUAGUAUGCAGUAACCCGAAAGUUGUUCGGAGUCCCGGAUGAGAUCCCGGACGUCACGAGGAGUUCCAAAAUGGUCCGGAGGUGAAGAAUUAUAUAUAGGAAGUCAAGUUUCGGCCAUCGGGAAAGUUUCGGGGGUCACCGGUAUUGUACCGGGACCAUCGGAAGGGUCACGGGGGUCCACCGGGUGGGGCCACCUAUCCCGGAGGGGCCCAUGGGAUGAAGUGGGAGGGGAACCAGCCCUUGGUGGGCUGGUGCGCCCCCUCCCCCCUUGGCCCCCCCUGCGCCUAGGGUUGGAAACCCUAGGGGUGGGGGCGUCUCCACUUGGCUUGGGGGGCAAGCCACCCCCUUGGCCGCCGCACCCCUUGGAGAUUGGAUCUCCUAGGGCCGGCGCCCCCCUAGUGGUCCUAUAUAAAGAGGAGGAGGGGGAGGGAGGGCUGCACACCCAUGUGUUGGGGAACGUAGCAGAAAUUCAAAAUUUUCCUACGUGUCACCAAGAUCUAUCUAUGGAGAAACCAGCAACGAGGGGAAGGAGAGUGCAUCUACAUACCCUUGUAGAUUGCUAAGCGGAAGCGUUCAAGAGAAUGGGGUUGAAGGAGUCGUACUCGUCGUGAUCCAAAUCACCGGAGAUCCUAGUGCCGAACGGACGGCACCUCCGCGUUCAACACACGUACAGCCCGGUGACGUCUCCCACGCCUUGAUCCAGCAAGGAGAGAGGGAGAGGUUGAGGAAGACUCCGUCCAGCAGCAACACGACGGCGUGGUGGUGGUGGUGGAGCGUGGUAAUCCUGCAAGGCUUCGCCAAGCACCGCGGGAGAGGAGGAGGACUUGGGAGAGGGGGAGGGCUGCGCCAGAACUUCAUGUGAAGCUCCCAUGCGCCUCCCCACUAUAUAUAGGGGUGGAGGGGAUGGUUUCUUGCCCUCCAAGUCCAUUGGGGCGUUGGCCAAGGUGGGAGGAAAGAAAUCCCAUCAUUUCCUUCCCCACCGAUUGAUAUCCCCCCUUUUUAGGGAUCUUGAUCUUAUCCCUUCGGGAUAUGAUCUUAUUCCUUCUAAGGGGGGAUCUUGGUGCGCCUUGACCAGGGGUGUGGGGCCUUGACCCCACUACCCACGUUCAUGUGGGUCCCCCCAUGCAGGUGGGCCCCACUCUGGAACCUUCUAGAACCUUCCCGGUACAAUACCGAAAAAUCCCGAACAUUUUCCGGUGGCCAAAAUAGGACUUCCCAUAUAUAAAUCUUUACCUCCGGACCAUUCCGGAACUCCUCGUGACGUCCGGGAUCUCAUCCGGGACUCCAAACAACAUUCGGUAACCACAUACAAACUUCCUUUAUAACCCUAGCGUCAUCGAACCUUAAGUGUGUAGACCCUACGGGUUCGGGAGACAUGUAGACAUGACCGAGACGUUCUCCGGUCAAUAACCAACAGCGGGAUCUGGAUACCCAUGUUGGCUCCCACAUGUUCCACGAUGAUCUCAUCGGAUGAACCACGAUGUCAAGGACUCAAUCGAUCCCGUAUACAAUUCCCUUUGUCUACCGGUAUUGUACUUGCCCGAGAUUCGAUCGUCGGUAUGCCGAUACCUUGUUCAAUCUCGUUACCGGCAAGUCUCUUUACUCGUUCCAUAACACAUCAUCCCGUGAUCAACCCCUUGGUCACAUUGUGCACAUUAUGAUGAUGUCCUACCGAAUGGGCCCAGAGAUACCUCUCCGUCACACAGAGUGACAAAUCCCAGUCUCAAUUCGUGCCAACCCAACAGACACUUUCGGAGAUACCUGUAGUGCACCUUUAUAGUCACCCAGUUACGUUGUGACGUUUGGUACACCCAAAGCAUUCCUACGAUAUUCGGGAGUUGCACAAUCUCAUGGUCUAAGGAAAUGAUACUUGACAUUAGAAAAGCUUUAGCAUACGAACUACACGAUCUUUGUGCUAGGCUUAGGAUUGGGUCUUGUCCAUCACAUCAUUCUGCUAAUGAUGUGAUCCCAUUAUCAAUGACAUCCAAUGUCCAUGGUCAGGAAACCGUAACCAUCUAUUGAUCAACGAGCUAGUCAACUAGAGGCUUACUACGGACAUGGUGUUGUCUAUGUACCCGCACAUGUAUCUGAGUUUCCUAUCAAUACAAUUAUAGCAUGGUUAAUAAACGAUUAUCAUGAACAAGGAAAUAUAAUAAUAACUAAUUUAUUAUUGCCUCUAGGGCAUAUUUCCAACAGUCUCCCACUUGCACCAGAGUCAAUAAUCUAGUUCACAUCGCCAUGUGAUUAACACUGACAGGUCACAUCGCCAUGUGACCAACAUCCAAAGAGUUUACUAGUGUCUUAAACUAGUUCACAUCACCAUGUGAUUAAGUCUCAAUGAGUUCUGGGGUUUGAUCAUGUUUUGCUUGUGAGAGAGGUUUUAGUCAACGGGUCUGCAAGAUUCAGAUCCGUAUGUACUUUGCAAAUCUCUAGGUCAUAAUGUGAAUGUUGCUUCCACGCUCCACUUGGAGCUAUUCCAAAUGGUUGCUCCACUAUACGUAUCCGGUUUGCUACUCAGAGUCAUUCGGAUAGGUGUUAAAGCUUGCAUCAACGUAACCCUUUACGCCGAACUCUUUAUCACCUCCAUAAUCGAGAAACAUGUCCUUAUUUACUCCAAGGACAAUUUUGGCCGAUGUCCAAUGAUCCGUUCCUGGAUCAUUCCUGUAUCCCUUGACUGACUCAUGGCAAGGCACACUUCCGGUGCGGUACACAACAUAGCAUACUAUAGAGCCUACGUCUAAAGCAUAGGGGACGACCUUCGUCCUUUCUCUCUGUUCUGCCGUGGUCGAGCUUUAAGUCUUAACUUCAUACCUUACAUCUCAGGCAAGAACUCCUUCUUUGACUGAUCCAUCUUGAACACCUUCAAGAUCAUGUCAAGGUAUAUGCUCAUUUGAAAGUGCCAUUAAGCGGUUUUUGAUCUAUCCUCAUAGAUCUUGAUGCUCAAUGUUCAAGUAGCUUAAUUCAGGUUUUUACUAGAAAAACAUCUUUCAAAUAACCCUAUAUGCUUUCCAGAAAUUCUACAUCAUUUCUGAUCAUCAAUAUGUCAACAACAUAUACUCAUCAGAAAUUCUAUAGUGCUCCCACUCACUUCUUUGGAAAUACAAGUUUCUCAAAAACUUUGUAUAAACCUAAAAUCUUUGAUCAUCUUAUCAAAGUGCAUAUUCCAACUCCGAGAUGCUUACUCCAGUCCAUGGAAGGAUCACUGGAGCUAGCAUACCUUUUAGCAUCCUUAGGAUUGACAAAACCUUUCUGAUUGUAUCACAUACAACCUUUCCUUACGAAAACUGGUAAGGAAACUCGUUUUGACAUCCAUUUGCCAGAUUUCAUAAAUGCAGCUAAUGCUAACAUGAUUCCGACGGACUUAAGCAUCGCUACGGAUGAGAAAAUCUCAUCGUAGUCAACUCUUUGAACUUGUGAAAAACUCUUCGCCACAAGUCGAGCUUCAUAGACGGUGACAUUACCGUCCACGUCCGUCUUCUUCUUAAAGAUCCAUUUAUCUCAAUGGUUUGCCGAUCAUCGGGCAAGUCCACCAAAGUCCAUGCUUUGUUAUGAUACAUGUAUCCUAUCUCGGAUUUCAUGGCUUCUAACCAUUUGUCGGAAUUUGGGCCCACCAUCGCUUCUCCAUAGCUCGUAGGUUCAUUGUUAUCUAGCAACAUGACUUUCAAGACAGGAUUACUGUACCAUUCUGAAGUAGUACGCAUCCUUGUCACCCUACGAGGUACGGUAGUGACUUGAUCCGAAGAUUCAUGAUCACUAUCAUAAGCUUCCACUUCAAUUGGUGUAGGUGCCACAGGAACAACUUCCUGUGCCCUGCUACACACUGGUUGAAGUGAUGGUUCAAUAACCUCAUCAAGUCUCCACCAUCCUCCCACUCAACUUUUCGAGACAAACUUUUCCUUGAGAAAGGACCCGAUUUAAGAAACAAUCCCUAUUGCUUUCGGAUCUGAAUUAGGAGGUAUACCCAACCAUUUUGGGUAUCCUAUGAAGAUGCAUUUAUCUGUUUUGGGUUCGAGCUUAUCACGAUGAAACUUUUUCACAUAAGCAUAGCAGCCCCAAACUUUCAAGAAACAACAGCUUAGGUUUCUCUAAACCAUAGUUCUCACGGUGUCAUCUCAACGGAAUUACGUGGUGCCCUAUUAAAGUGAGUGCGGUUGUCUCUAAUGCCUAACCCAUGAACGAUAGUGGUAAUUCGAUAAGAGACAUCAUGGUACGCACCAUAUCCAAUAGGGUGCAACUAUGAUGUUCGGACACACCAUCACACUAUGGUGUUCCAGGCGAUAUUAAUUGUGAAACAAUUUUCACAAUGUCUUAAUUGUGUGCCAAAGCUCGUAACUCAGAUACUCAUCUCUAUGAUCAUAUCAUAGACAUUUUAUCCUCUUGUCACAAUGAUCUUCCACUUCACUCUGAAAUUACUUGAACCAUUCAAUAAUUCAGACUUGUGUUUCAUCAAGUAAAUAUACUCAACAUCUACUCGAAUCAUCUGUGAAGUAAGAACAUAACGAUAUUCACAGCAUGCCUCAGCACUCAUUGGACUGCACACAUCAAAAUGUGUUACUUCCAACAAGUUGCUAUCUUGUUCCAUCUUACUGAAAACGAGGCUUUUCAGUCAUCUUGCCCAUGUGGUAUGAUUUGCAUAUCUCAAGUGAUUCAAAAUCAACUGAGUCCAAACGAUCCAUCUGCAUAGAGUUUCUUCAUGCGUAUACACCAAUAGACAUGGUUCGCAUGUCUCAAACUUUUCAAAAACGAGUGAGUCCAAAGAUCCAUCAACAUGGAGCUUCUUCAUGCGUUUUAUACCAAUAUGACUUACAUGGCAGUGCCACAAGUAAGUGGUACUAUCAUUACUAUCUUAUAUCUUUUGGCAUGAAAAUGUGUAUCACUACGAUCGAGAUUCAAUAAACCAUUCCUUUAGGUGCAAGACCAUUGAAGGUAUUAUUCAAAUAAAUAGAGUAACCAUUAUUCUCCUUAAAUGAAUAAUCGUAUUGCGAUAGACAUAAUCCAAUCAUGUCUAUGCUCAACGCAAACUCCAAAUGUCAAUUAUUCAGGUUUAAUACUAAUCUUGAUGGUAGAGGGAGCGUGCGAUGUUUGAUCACAUCAAACUUGGAAACACUUCCAACACAUAUCGUCAGCUCACCUUCAGCUAGUCUCCGUUUAUUCCGUAGCUCUUUUAUUUCAAGUUACUAACACUUAGCAACCAAACCGGUAUCUUAAUAUCCUGGUGCUACUAGGAGUACUAGUAAAGUACACAUUAACUUAAUGUAUAUCCAAUAUACUUGUAUUGACCUUGCCAGCCUUCUCAUCUACCAAGUAUCUAGGGUAAUUCUGCUCCAGUGCCUGUUCCCCUUAUUACAGAAGCACUUAGUCUCAGGUUUGGGUUCAACCUUGGGUUUCUUCAUUAGAGCAGCAGCUGAUUUGCUGUUUCAUGAAGUAUCCCUUCUUGCCCUUGCCCCUUUUUGAAACUAGUGGUUUCACCAACCAUCAACAAUUGAUGCUCCUUCUUGAUUUCUACUUUUGUGGUGUCAAACAUUGUGAAUACCUCAAGGAUCAUCAUAUCUAUCCCUGAUAUGUUAUAGUUCAUCACGAAGCUCUAGCAGCUUGGUGGCAAUGACUUUGGAGAAACAUCAUUAUCUCAUCUGGAAGAUCAACUCCCACUCGAUUCAAGUGAUUGUUGCACUUAGACAAUAUGAGCACAAGCUCAACGAUUGAGCUUUUCUCCCUUAGUUUGCAGGUUAAGAAACUCGUCGGAGGCCUCAUACCUCUUGACGUGGGCACGAGCCUGAAAUCCCAAUUUUAGCCCUCGAAACAUCUCAUAUGUUCCGCGACGUUUCGAAAAACGUCUUUGGUGCCUCUACUCUAAACCAUAUAACUGAACUAUCACGUAGUUAUCAAAACGUGUAUGUCUGAUGUUCGAAACAUCCACAUACAACAUUUGGGGUUCAGUACACUGAGCGAUGCAUUAAGGACAUAAUCUUUCUACUGUCCGCAUAAUCGCUACUGUCAACUUUCAACUAUAUUUUCUCUAGGAACAUAUCUAAACAGUGGAACUAAAGCGCGAGCUUACGACAUAAUUUGCAAAGAUCUUUUGACUAUGUUCAGGAUAAUUAAGUUCAUCUUAUGAACUCCCACUCAGAUAGACAUCCCUCUAGUCAUCUAAGUGAUUACAUGAUCCGAGUCAACUAGGCCGUGUCCGAUCAUCACGUGAGACGGACUAGUCAUCAUCAGUGAACAUCUUCAUGUUGAUCGUAUCUACUAUACGACUCAUGCUCGACCUUUCGGUCUCUUGUGUUCCGAGGCCAUGUCUGUACAUGCUAGGCUCGUCAAGUUAACCUAAGUGUUUCACGUGUGUAAAUUUGGCUUACACCUGUUGUAUGUGAACGUAAGAAUCUAUCACACCCGAUCAUCACGUGGUGCUUCGAAACGACAAACUUUCGCAACGGUGCACAGUUAGGGGGAACACUUUCUUGAAAUUUUAAUGAGGGAUCAUCUUAUUUACUACCGUCGUUCUAAGCAAAUAAGAUGCAUAAACAUGAUAAACAGCACAUGCAAUCAAAUAGUGACAUGAUAUGGCCAAUAUCAUUUUGCUCCUUUUGAUCUCCAUCUUCGGGGCUCCAUGAUCAUCAUCGUCACUGGCAUGACACCAUGAUCUCCAUCAUCAUGAUCUCCAUCAUCGUGUCUCCAUGAAGUUGUCUCGCCAACUUAUUACUUCUACUACUAUGGCUACCGGUUAGCAAUAAAGUAAAGUAAUUACAUGGCGUUGUUCAAUGACACGCAGGUCAUACAAUAAAUAAAGACAACUCCUAUGGCUCCUGCCGAUUGUCAUACUCAUCGACAUGCAAGUCGUGAUUCCUAUUACAAGAACAUGAUCAAUCUCAUACAUCACAUAUCAUUCAUCACAUUCUUCUUGGCCAUAUCACAUCACAUAGCAUACCCUGCAAAAACAAGUUAGACGUCCUCUAAUUGUUGUUUGCAUGUUUUACGUGGCUGCUAUGGGUUUCUAGCAAGAACGUUUCUUACCUACGCAAAAGCCACAACGUGAUAUGCCAAUUGCUAUUUACCCUUCAUAAGGACCCUUUUCAUCGAAUCCGAUCCGACUAAAGUGGGAGAUACUGGCACCCGCUAGCCACCUUAUGCACCAAGUGCAUGUCAGUCGGUGGAACCUGUCUCACGUAAGAGUACGUGUAAGGUCGGUCCGGGCCGCUUCAUCCCACAAUACCGUCGAAAUAAGAUUGGACUAGUAACGGUAAGCAUAUUGAACAAGAUCAACGCCCACAACUACUUUGUGUUCUACUCGUGCACAUAAUCUACGCAAUAAACCUGGCUCUGAUACCACUGUUGGGGAACGUAGCAAAAAUUCAAAAUUUUCCUACGUGUCACCAAGAUCUAUCUAUGGAGAAACCAGCAACGAGGGGAAGGAGAGUGCAUCUACAUACCCUUGUAGAUUGCUAAGCGGAAGCGUUCAAGAGAACGGGGUUGAAGGAGUCGUACUCGUCGUGAUCCAAAUCACCGGAGAUCCUAGUGCCGAACGGACGGCACCUCCGCGUUCAACACACGUACAGCCCGGUGACGUCUCCCAUGCCUUGAUCCAGCAAGGAGAGAGGGAGAGGUUGAGAAAGACUCCGUCCAGCAGCAACACGACAGCGUGGUGGUGGUGGAGGAGCGUGGCAAUCCUGCAAGGCUUCGCCAAGCACCGCGGGAAAGGAGGAGGACUUGGGAGAGGGGGAGGGCUGCGCCAGAACUUCGUGUGAAGCUCCCAUGCGCCUCCCCACUAUAUAUAGGGGUGGAGGGGAUGAUUUCUUGCCCUCCAAGUCCAUUGGGGCGUUGGCCAAGGUGGGAGGAAAGAAAUCCCAUCAUUUCCUUCCCCACCGAUUGCUAUCCCCCCUUUUUAGGGAUCUUGAUCUUAUCCCUUCGGGAUAUGAUCUUAUUCCUUCUAAGGGGGGAUCUUGGUGCGCCUUGACCAGGGGUGCGGGGCCUUGACCCCACUACCCACGUUCAUGUGGGUCCCCCCAUGCAGGUGGGCCCCACUCCGGAACCUUCUAGAACCUUCCCGGUACAAUACCGAAAAAUCCCGAACAUUUUCCGGUGGCCAAAAUAGGACUUCCCAUAUAUAAAUCUUUACCUCCGGACCAUUCCGGAACUCCUCGUGACGUCCGGGAUCUCAUCCGGGACUCCGAACAACAUUUGGUAACCACAUACAAACUUCCUUUAUAACCCUAGCGUCAUCGAACCUUAAGUGUGUAGACCCUACGGGUUCGGGAGACAUGUAGACAUGACCGAGACGUUCUCCGGUCAAUAACCAACAGCGGGAUCUGGAUACCCAUGUUGGCUCCCACAUGUUCCACGAUGAUCUCAUCGGAUGAACCACGAUGUCAAGGACUCAAUCGAUCCCGUAUACAAUUCCCUUUGUCUAGCGGUAUUGUACUUGCCCGAGAUUCGAUCGUCGGUAUGCCGAUACCUUGUUCAAUCUCGUUACCGGCAAGUCUCUUUACUCGUUCCAUAACACAUCAUCCCGUGAUCAACCCCUUGGUCACAUUGUGGACAUUAUGAUGAUGUCCUACCAAGUGGGCCGAGAGAUACCUCUCCGUCACACGGAGUGACAAAUCCCAGUCUCGAUUCGUGCCAACCCAACAGACACUUUCGGAGAUACCUGUAGUGCACCUUUAUAGUCACCCAGUUACGUUGUGACGUUUGGUACACCCAAAGCAUUCCUACGGUAUCUGGGAGUUGCACAAUCUCAUGGUCUAAGGAAAUGAUACUUGACAUUAGAAAAGCUUUAGCAUACGAACUACACGAUCUUUGUGCUAGGCUUAGGAUUGGGUCUUGUCCAUCACAUCAUUCUGCUAAUGAUGUGAUCCCGUUAUCAAUGACAUCCAAUGUCCAUGGUCAGGAAACCGUAACCAUCUAUUGAUCAACGAGCUAGUCAACUAGAGGCUUACUAGGGACAUGGUGUUGUCUAUGUACCCACACAUGUAUCUGAGUUUCCUAUCAAUACAAUUAUAGCAUGGUUAAUAAACGAUUAUCAUGAACAAGGAAAUAUAAUAAUAACUAAUUUAUUAUUGCCUCUAGGGCAUAUUUCCAACACCAUGCUCCUGGCGCCUCCCUCUCCCUCUACUACACCUCUCCCUCUCGUAGAACUUGGCGAAGCCCUGCCGAGAUCGCUGCUGCAUCCACCACCACGCCGUCGUGCUGCUGGAUCUCCGUCAACCUCUCUUUUCCCCUUGCUGGAUCAAGAAGGAGGAGACGUCUUCCCCAACCAUACGUGUGUUGAAUGCGGAGGUGCUGUCCGUUCAGCACUAGGAUCAUCGGUGAUUUGGAUCACGACGAGUACGACUCCCUCAACCCCGUUCCGCUUCCGCUCACGAUCUACAAGGGUAUGUAGAUGCACUCCUCUCUCUCGUUGCUAGAUGAACUCCAUAGAUUGAUCUUGGUGAAGCGUAGAAUUUUUUUAUUUUCUGCAACAUUCCCCAAUAGGUGGAGCCCUCAGUGGACUCGUGCAGUCGUUACCCUCCGUGGGUUGAAGUCUCCAUCAGUGUGGACAUACGAUAGCAUCGCCUAUUGGAACCACGCCAGAAAUCAUCGUGUCUUCAUUGCGUUUGAAAUCUCCAACACCCGCCUUUACUUUCAUGUGCAAUGUUUUACUUCACAUUGCUAUAUUUUAGAAUUGCAUGUGUAGGGUGAUGCUUGACUUGUUAGAUUUGCUAAAAAAUCCCCACAACUAAAAUUGAGAAAAUGUUAGGUUUUAUUUGGUCAAGUAGUCUAAUCAACCCCCUUCCCCCUAGACAUACUUUCGAUCCUAUAAAGUGUCACCGUCCGUCGAGUGUCACACCUCUGAGACUAAAAAACUCUGACCUAAACUACUAGCCGGAGUGGAGGCACCAAGGAUCCCCCUCUCCGCUCCUGACUAUUGGAGCGGCGGACAUAGAGGAAGGUGAAUUCACAGGUCUUCUAGCAAAGCUUGGAGGAAAAGAGUUUGCCUUAACCAUCUACGGGGGAGAUAAGGAAACGCUUGGCAUGGUAGUAGCUAGUCGAUUUUUGUGGACAAAUUUAAGUUUGUAUAUUUAUGCUCAAAAGAAUUGCAUUAAGUCUUCAAAAAACAACGCGCAUGGGAAGGAGGAGAAAACAUAUCCUAUGCAUAGGGGCUUUGGUGAACCUAUGUAUGUAGUCUCUUCAUGGUUCUACUUUCAUCGUUAAUACAUUAUGCUCUUUAAUUUUUAAGACCUCACAAUUAAUUGAGGUAUUCAAUUUGGAUUGGCUCAUCUGAUUUUGUUCGGGUCAACAAUUUCUUAAUGACUUCUUCCUAAUUUUAAAAGCCUCACAUUCAAUAAAGGUUUCCAAUUUAGAAUUUGCUCAUCAGAUUUUGAUCGUGUCAAUAAUUUCUCAAGCAAAUCUCUUAUGCAAUGCUUUUCAAUUCACUAUGCUCCUUGAUUUGUAAGGUUUUCCCUGCGAUUGAUGUAUUCAAUUUUGGAUUUGAUUCACCAUUUUGAUCGGGUCAGCGAUUUUCCAAAUCAAUCGACAACAACUCACCUAUAAAAACACAUCAAUCUAGCGCACCCUCUCGCCACAUAAAGAAAAGAAGCACCAACACUUGCACUGUAGCAUCAAUAUAGUGCAUGCAGUCACCGACACAGAAAAUUUCUCCACAGAAGUAUGGGUUGAUUAACAGAUAACACAGAAUCAUACCACGAAAGAUCCACCAAAAUACCGCAUUUAAACUAAGAAGAAAACACACUCCAUCAUAUCCCCUACUCGCCAAACUAACUACUCCCUCGGUUUCAAAAUAUAAAAUCUAUUAGUUUUCUUUAAGUUAAAUUUCUAUAACUUUGACCAAGUUUAGAGCCAAAAAAAUUGACAUCAACAAUACUAAAUUAAAAAUAUAUAUGAAAAUUCAUUUCAUGAUGAAUCUUCUUCUACCGAUUUGAUAUUAUGUGUAUAUAUUUCUUUGGUCAAACUUACAAAGGUUUGAAUUUACAAUAAACUAAUACACCUUAUAUUUUGAAAUAGUGAGAGUAAAAAAAUAUUCUGAAAACUCAACAACAUUGACGGCGCAGAAAAGCACGUCCAACCCUUCUAGUUUAGAAGAUUUUCAAAAAUACAGAAACAAAUGUUCAAGCAGACAAAAUAUUUGUCUCCCCUGAUAUAAAAUUCAAAUCAAAAUGUAAAGCACAUUUUGUGAAAAUGAAAAAAAAGGAUCAAACACGCACCCCUGGGGAGGCGACAUGCGAGCGCCCUACGCUAUAGGGCUGGCCAAUUCAGGUUUCCUCAACAACAGUCUUGGGAAGGUCAGAACCGGUUUUUGUAUUUUUACUUUUGGUUUUUCUUUUUCAUUUUUCAUUUUGUCUUUUUCUUGGUUCUUUGUUCUUUUCCUUUUUCAUUUCAUGAACUUUUUUCAAAUACGCCAGCAUUUUUUCAUAUAAAUUCAAAAAAAUUAUCAAUUUCAUAAAAUGUUCACCAAAUUCAAAAUCUGUUUGCCGAAUACAAUUAUUUUUCAUCAAAAUUCAAAAUGUGUUCAUCAAAUUUCAAAAUUUUCACCAUAUAUUAAAAAUUCUUCAUCAAACCCUAAAACAUGUUUAUUAAACUAAAAGAAUAUCAAAUUCAAAAAUUGCUCAUCAAAAUUUUAAAUAAUGAUUUUUUUUAAUUUGGAACAUUUUUUGAAAUUCGUAACUCCUUUUGCAGUCCUGUUUUUUUAAAAAAAAAUGUGAUUCAUGAACAUUUUUUUGAAGCUAAAGCAAAAAAGCGAAAACACAAGGAAAACAAGCGCAACGCGCCAUGCAUAUGGACCAGCCCAAAAGCGGGGUUGGGGACGGGGGUGCGCAUUUCGGCAACGCACGUGCUCAACACGCUAAAUAGGAGGUCCGGGAGAGGAUGGGCACGGGAGGUGACAAGGCCGAUGGCGACCAACGACGAGAUGGUGAUGUACCAAUUAUCGAAGGUGUAAUAACCUUCUCGGAGUUUAGAUACGAGCCUAGUCGACACGUCACUAUACCAGCUUGAUUUCUUUUUUUUUUUGAGCAUUAGUACAGACACAAGCGCUCAUAUACACGCGCACACACUCACCCCUAUGAACGCACGCACACCCUACCCCUAUGAGCACCACCGAGAGACUGAGCCGGCAUAUCAUCUUGAAAUUUACGAAGUCAUCAUAGGCACCUCGUCGUCGACGGGAACGUCUCCUCCCACUGAAAGCGCAUCGCCGGAAAUCCUGAAAUAAAUCCAGGAAUAAUGCGAGCACAAGGAUUUGAACCCUGGUGGGUUGGGGAUACCACUGUCCACCUAACCAACUCAACCACAGGUUGAUUCGCCAGCUUGAUUUCUCUAGAGGCGUUGGAGAAAGGCCAUGGCAGAGGGAGGGCAGGCUGAAAAGAUGAGGGGUGAAGCGCGUUAUUCCAUAAUGGUGAAACUGUGGCCUCCUUUCACAAUAUUUUUUAAGUCAAACUUUGUAAAAAUUUACCGAAUUUUAUACUAAAAAUAUAAUAACAUCCAAUACCAAAUAAAUAGACCCUCCGUGCUAAAUUAGUUGUCUUAGUUUUUUUUCUAAACAUGGAUCUAGACAAGUUUAGUGUCUAAAUACAUCUAUAUCUGAACGAAUAAACGUGUCUAGAUACAUCUGUAUCUAGACAAAUUUAAGACAAUUAGUUUGGGACGGUGGUAAUACAUAUGAAAAACUAUUUCAUGCUGGAUAAGGAUAUUGAGUUGGUAUUGUGGAUGUUGAUACUUUUUGUCUAUAAACUUGACCAAACUUUAAUAAGAAGUUUGAUUAAAGGCAAAACUAAUAUGAGAAGUGAAAAAGAAAGUUAUGAAAAAGAAGUUUGAUCAACGUCUAUAUUUACGUGAGCUUAAUUUUUUUUUAAAUCAUACAGAAUAUAAAUAGUUAUGGAAAAAGUAUUGAUAUGACAUAUGUAUACUGUUCUUGGUAAUGUAGCAAUAAAAUACACAGAUGGUCUACUGGGGAUAAACUCAAACUGGGAUAUUAUUUUUAUAGUCACACUAUAGUUUGCACAUACAUAUAGUAUCCAGACAAAACACAAGGAAAAACUGAAAACAGACAAACAUAACCUCCAGAAAAGACAACAACAUACGUUUGCACCACAACAAAAGUCAUGAUGUACACUCUAACAAGGUAUAUAUAUAUUAUACAUAUAUAAGUCAUGUUUGUACAGACAAAAUUGUUUCCUAGGCUAAAUUAGACAAAUGAAUGAAUGCCUCCGCAUAUAUAUAUAUUACAUCAGAUUUACACUGCAAUCUCGGCUACCACCUCUAUUCCUUCUCGGUUUCCCCUAGGUUAAAUUAGACAAACAGAUUUUGCCUCCAUGAACAACAUCAAAUUUACAGAACAACUCUGGAUUACAUCUCUCAGCUUCCUAGGCUUAAAUUAGACAACAGCUUUUCAAGCCUACAUCAAUCUACACAGCAUCCACCAUGGUUCCCAUCUCUAUUUCCUUCUCCAUGCGAGCAAUCAAGCGCCUUCGAGCAUACAAAACUUGGCGGCAAACAUUCUGCCGCAGCUUGCUUUCAUCUCUAUUCCUCCCUGGAGCUCACAACCGCAAUUCACAUGGUAUCAUAACUUAAUCACUGUUCACUUUCCACAAUAACACAACAUCUCUAGUUCUCUACAGG
rnacentral:lncRNA from 1 species